rnacentral:lncRNA from 1 species
UGCUUCUUUGGUCCUGAAAUAUGUCUUCGCACGGUUUCUGUUCUAAAAAGCAAAAUGCUUCAGGUUUCGGCAGUUAGGGCAAACAAUCAGGAAGGGAAGUAUAUAUAUUGAAAAGAGAGCCCAGACAUGGUGUCGAGAAUGAAGGAGAAUGGAAAGUAAGGGUAUGAUUUCUUUUUUUUUUGUCUUCUAAAAAUAAAUAGAGCGAGGUUAAGGAGACACAGAAAAUGGAAAUGAGGGGUAGGAUUUUUUUUGGUCUUCUAAAAAUAAAUAGAGCGAGGUUAAGGAGACACAACAAUUAUUGAUAGAGAAAAAGAGUUGGAGAAUUAGUUUUUGUGGUAUCAAUGGGCGGUAUAAGCCAUCAUGUUUGACAUAUUAUUUUCUAAAUUAGAACAAUUUUUGAUCAUUUAUUGUUAUUGCAUGGCAAUGCGUGAAUAUUUAUUGUAAAGUAUAUGUCGGACAAGAUUGAUGUUGAACCACUAGAGUACAUGCCCGUUGUCGUAGUAUAUAUACCAUUUCAUAUAUCAUGGCCGACUAUGAUGGUGUGCAUUCUUUGGCACUGGAAAUUGGCCCGGGACACCAUAGAGGGGAAAGGAUGGGGAGGGCGACGCCAUGGAAGGAAGGGGAGACUACGCUGAGAGAAAGAUGUCGGUUGAACGUCGUGGUUGGGAGAGAUGGCAAUGGCAUCAGCGAGGAAAGCAGUGCGGGGGAAUGAGAUGUGGGUAUGAGCGUUGUGCCAUGUAGUGAGAGAAUGAGAGAGUGAUUUGCUUUUUUUUCAUAAGAAAAACAAGAAGGUGCGGCUGUUUGCUUUUUUUAGGAAAAGCGGUUGUUUGCUAUGAGAGAAAUGCCACAUACUCUUAUGUAGUGACAAAUAUCAGAUACCUUAACAAAGACAUUUCUAGAUUUUUUUUACCAACAAGUGAUUUACAUGUGAACUUAUACUUUAUUAAAAUUAGAAUCUGACCCACUUUAGUAAAAAGUAUGAUGCCACUCACUCCGACUAAAAACGUAACCUACUCUCAUUUAGCAUCUGACCAAUGAAUAUAUGUUGUAUAUAAGCUUAUAUUUUUUUUAAAUACUGUUUAUAUGUUCACUUUUGUAUAUCAGAGAUAAAAACCGGUGGCUUCCGAGGAUGCUUUGGUAAAUGUCGAUUGACAAAGUUUUAUGAUGGUUCUGACUGAAAAAUCAUUGAGUUUUACACAAUCCGGAAAGAUGCAUACAAAUGAUUAUUCUUUAUAUAUUUGUUGCACAUCAUAAUACAAAAGGUUUGUUUCUAUAUAUCUUUAUUUUUGUAGAUUAUGGGAGAGAUGGAAAUGGAUUAUGUCGACUUUAAAAAAAUCCAUCCACAAAGGUGUCGAGGCGAUGUUGUUAGAAGGGACAAAAAAUUCACCGAGUUUUAUACAACGAAAAGCCCGUAGCAACGCACGGGCAUUCUAUUAGUAAUUUCUAGAGUUUGACUAUCUCACGUCUAACAUAACUUCACCCCAUCUGUUUGUGAUUAUCAAAAAAAAGUGUUGUGGCUCUCCUGCUGUGUCGGUUUUUUUGGCUCUCCUGCUGUUUCGCACACAACUCACCACGGACCACGGUCACGACCCAGGACCAAAAAGCCUAUAAAAACUACAGCAUACCUAACAGGAAUCGAACUGCUCGUCAACCCAUCCUUUCAACCACUUACACACAUAGGCAUUCAUGGCAAAUAAUCAAGGCAUGUCUUUUAAGGACUUACUGCAGCGUCCGGUUUAAUACUUUUUUGAACAAUUAUUGAAAAAUUGUGAACAAUUUUAGAACAUCGUAUUUUUAUUAAAACACAAAGAAUUUUUGGAACUCCAGACUUUUUUGAAAAGUCUGAACAAUAUUUGUAAUUCUGUAAUUCCAUAUUUUUUUUAAAAGACGAACUAUUUUUGAAAACCUUGAACAGUUUUUUAAGUGCGAUUUAAGAAAAUCCUAACAUUUUUUGGAAAACAUGAAACCUUCCCCAAAAUCGCUAAUUUUGGAAACAGGAGUAUUUUUGGAAACUCCCAAAGAUUGUUUAAAAACGUCAAUUAGUUUUAAUGAAAACAAGAUUUUUUUUGAAUUUCUAACCAAUUUUUCAAAAUUGGUACAUGUUUUGAACACUCAAAACAUUUUUUGAAAAAAAUAUGAUCAUUUUAUGAAAAUGCAUACAUUUUUUGCAUUUGCAAAUAAUUUAGAAAAAGGGAACAUUGUUUAAAACAUUCGAAUUUAUUUCGAAAAGCAUGAAUAUUUUUUGAACUUGCAGGAUUUUUUUUGAAAAAUACGAACCUAUUUUGAUAUUGUCAAACUUUUUUGGAAAACCCAAACAAAUUUUGAAAUACCAAAGUAUUUUUCAAAUCCCAUACACUUUUUGAAAAAAAAUGAACAUUUUGGAAAACAAGAGGUCAAACUCAGUUGUGUGUCAAUGGUGGACUUGCAACUGGAAAAGAAAUGGUCAGGCCCAGUUGUGUGUCGAGAGUGGACUUACAAAUAGGAGAGAAAAGGGUCAAAUCCAGUUGCAUGUCGAGGGUGGACUUACAACUGAGAGAAAAAAAGGUCGUGCCGUAGUUGCGAGUUGAGAACGGACUUGCAACUGGGACAAAAUGAAGGUCGGGCCCUAGUUGCAAGUCGAGGUGAGAUUGCAACUGAGACAAAAAAGGUUGGGCCUGCGAGUCAAGUGUGGACUGGCAACUGAAGAAAAGGUCAGGCCCUAGUUGCGAGUCGUGGGUAGACUUACAACUGGGACAAAAAAAAGAUCGGGAUCUAGUUGAGAGUCAAGGGUGAACUUGCAACUGGGACAAAAACAGUUGCGCCCCAGUUGCGAGUUAAGGGUGGAUUUGCGGGUAGGACAAAACCGACGGAUCUCGGGUAGGGGGUCCCGAACUGUGCGUCUAGGCGGAUGGUAACAGGAGACAAGGGACACGAUGUUUUUACCCAGGUUCGGGCCCUCUCGAUGGAGGUAAAACCCUACUCCUGCUUGAUUAAUAUUGAUGAUAUGGGUAGUACAAGAGUAGAUCUACCACGAGAUCAAGGAGGCUAAACCCUAGAAGCUAGCCUAUGGUAUGAUUGUUGUUCGUCCUACGGACUAAACCCCUCCGGUUUAUAUAGACACCGGGGAGGGCUAGGGUUACACAGAGUCGGUUACAAUGGUAGGAGAUCUACAUAUCCGUAUCGCCAAGCUUGCCUUCCACGCCAAGGAAAGUCCCAUCCGGACACGGGACGAAGUCUUCAAUCUUGUAUCUUCAUAGUCUUGGAGUCCGGCCAAUGAUGAUAGUUCGGCUAUCCGAAAAACCCCUAGUCCAGGACUCCCUCAGUAGCCCCUGAACCAGGCUUCAAUGAUGACGAGUCCGACGCGCAUAUUGUCUUCGGCAUUGCAAGGCGGCUUCCUCUUCCGAAUAAUUCAUAGAAGAUUGUGAACACCAGGAUAGUGUCCGGCUCUGCAAAAUAAAUUCCACAUUCCACCGUAAGAAUAAUAUUCACACAAGUUCGAUCUGCUGACGUAUUUCAUGAUAUGACAUCACACCAUGGCCAAGCCUUUACUCGAAUCGUUUUUAUUGUUCCACCUCAGCACGUUUAGCGAAGCGGUUUCCUUGGCACGUCUUAUCAAAGCAGAGAUCGUGUCCCCUUAUUCCGGGAUUCUCACCAAUACGGACGUGGGUAACCCAACCGCGCCCGUUGGCUCGCCCCCUCCAUUGAAGGCGAGUCCCAAACGGUUAUGGGGACGGCUCUUGGUAUUCAACCCCUUUAUAACGAGACCAAGGCAUGUUCCUUUUCUUCAAUCCUCAAUCGAAUCCGCCCCUCACCCCGAGUUCCGACACCUAAGGCUCCAUAUUCAGGCGCUUUGGACCUUCGACAAUGUCCGGAUCCGACCUUCAGGGCCGGUGGAUGCCCUCUUCCGUCACGGAAGAAGAUGUGCUAAAGCUGAGAGACGCCAGGUAUCUAACCGACGAAAUUUCGCAUAGGCUGCCCACCCCAGGGCAAAUUAUUCCCACUCCCGAGCCUGGUGAGAGCGUGGUGUUUGUGUCUCACUUCCGUCGGGGUUUAGGCUUCCCGAUGGACCCCUUCGUGAGGGGGCUCAUGUUUUAUUACGGGUUGGAAUUCCAUGACUUGGAUCCGGAGUCCAUCCUCCACAUCUCAUCGUUCAUUAUUGUAUGCGAAGCCUUCCUCCACACCACUCCUCACUUCGGAUUGUGGCUCAAGACCUUCAACGUGGAGCCGAAGAUGAUCGAGGAGCGGCAGGAAGAGUGCAGAGGGGCAGUUAUAAGCAAGGGAGCUGACGCUCCGUGGCCCGAUGGCUGUUUUCAAAAGGAGCUCGGUUUGUGGCAACAGGAGUGGUUCUACAUCACCGCUCCCAGGGGCACCAGAUGGGUGGCGCCGCCUGCCUUUCGCUCGGGCCCCCCACAACGGCUGUCGUCGUGGGUCAACAAAGGGCUUGACUGGGGGCCGUCCAAGGACGUGCCAUUGUUGCAGGGCCGUAUUCGAGACCUCCAAGAGAGAGAUCAAUCUGGUUGUAGUGGCGCAGGUCAUGCUGAUUCGGCGCCUUCUGCCCUGCAAAUGUUGCCCCCUCCGCCUGUGGGAAUUCAAUCCGGAGGGACCGCGAGCUCUCCAACACUUCAUGGGCGCGACGCCCGUGGAGAUGUAUAAACCGUUCUUCGGAUCACAAGAGAUGUGUCCGGACUUGACCCAGGACGCAGGCUUGAGCUGCAAUCGCCAGGAUACUCAACUAAAUAGUCCUGUGCCUGGACACGAUGUCCACAUAUUUACCAUAAACUUGCCCUUUAACCAGCUAUCCCUUGAAUAGGAGUGGAUAGCAAAAGCAAAGCUGAUACGGUGUCCGGCCCCCCUCCCUGAGACCACGCCGGAUCCUGUGUUAAUCAAGAUGCUGGAGGCUGCGCCUUUAGAAAAGGGCGAAGGGGAAAACAGGAAAACCACCGCCUCCGCUAAGGAGGCUCUUAAGAAAGGGGGGAUCGAGAAUCCCUCCCUCCAGGGGGAUAAGAGGGCCGCUUUUGAAGAUCCGGAGGCCAAGGCCUCAAAGCGGGGGAAGAAGUCUUCAGGAGAGGGCCCUGAGCCAGGAGAAACCCCGGCCGCACUAUUUCCCCAAGGGAAUCAGCCCUCCAGCAAGCCGUAAGUAGAAAGGGGAGUUUUAUAAUAAGGGACAUCCCUGUUUUUAUUUCUGAGGAUAACCGAAGUUUUUACCUUGUAGUUCGGAUCUCAGCCCUUCUCAGCAGAGCUCAUCUUCGGGGGAUCUUCGUCCGAAGAUGAUGGAGAGCGAAACGCCUCCAUCUGCCGCACCAUCAGGCAGGGCGGACGACCCUGAGGUGUCGUCGCGGAGGGUCUCCCCGGGUCCGGCGGGGCCGGAUAGUGCGGCACCAACUGGUGUACGGCCGGAGGAGCUGAAGGAUCUGCUCGGGCGGGCGUCUAUCUCAGAAGAUCACCGUAUGUUGAUGAGUAUGGUGAUUGAAAGGAUUUCAUCCGCUGAGAGCGGGUUGCAUGAGGCCGUCAGAAGUUUACUGACGGGGUUUGAGGUGCGUGAAAAUGACAUACCUUUUGACAGUUUUGCACAUAGAAUGCGCCCUGUAUAGAUAGUAGCCCCUGAGACUCGGUAUGUUGUCGAAAACGAUAGCGCGCUGAGGAUCAUAAUCUCAGUUAUAAGAUGUCGCCCUUCCCAUACAAGUGGCGGAGAAUUCGGUGGCCAGCGGGACUGAUGGAGUUGCCAAACUGAAGCGGCAACUUGACGUUGCGGAUGCGGACAUCGCACUGGUCAAUAAACGACUUGACGAGUCACAAGGUAUGUGGCUUCUCCGCGGUCACCUGGUAAGGGAGCUGGAUGCCCGUGCCUUACAACAUGUAUGCUUUAAUGCAGAUGGCGCCGCUGCUAUGGAGGACCUUCGGGCGGAACUUGCCUGAGCCAAGGAGCAAGCCAGAAAAAGUAAUGCGGCUGCCUUGAAGGCGGCCGAAGAGUUAAAAGCCGAGCAGGCUGCUCACUGCCGAAGCAGGGAGGAAAUGGCCGAAAUGGCCGUGAAGCUGAAGGAUGCUACCGACCGCUAUUAGUUUCUUGAAAGAGAAUGUCGAGUGGAGCAAGAGGACCUGAAGAAGGCCACCGCCGAAGCCAAGGAUGCCCGCUCUGCGAUGAGGGCUAUAAAGGAGGAGCUGCGUCGGGCCGGGGAUAUUGCGGCUGGAAAGCCCUUUCUGCUGCGUAGGAAGUUCACGGAUCCGAAGUAUGCUCAGUUGGGCCAGUUGUGGGGUGCGGAGGAUGCUUAUCUGAAUUUGGCAGCGAGUGCAGCGGACACAGUCGCACACUUCCGAUGUCAAAAGGAUCACGGAAUGGAAGAGCUUUUUUGGUCUCAAUUCCAGAAUCCGGAGCGUCCACUUCCGUUAACCGAUCGGUUGGCUGAGUGGGCUGAGGUGAACAGGUUGUCCGGACUUGCCAUGAAGAAUGUCAUGGCUCAUCUGUGGCCGAAAAGGCCCGAGCCGAAGAGUUAUUUUGGCUUGGUGCAGCAGUUCCUUGAUGCGGUGCCGCAUAUCAAGGCGAUGAAGCGGUCGACAUGCAUAGAGGGUGCACGGAUGGCUCUCGCCCGUGUCAAAACAUACUGGGCAGAGAUGGAGGCCACCGACGUUGCAUCCCGGGAUUCGGACGGAAGCCGAUUACCCGCCGAGCACUAUUUUGAGGAAGUCCUGCAGGGCGCUCGCUUAAUAGAGUCGCGGUGCUCAAAAAAUGUUAUGUUCAAAUGACAUGUAUGAUUUGUGAAACCGUGUUUCAAAUAUAAUAUAAGGGCUUUUUAUACUUGUGCGUUCAAGUAUUGAAAUACCUCAUGUGCGGCCGUUAAUGUAUAUGUGUAUAUAACCUGAAAGAUGGCAGUCUUCGGCUUCAGCCCCCACGCACAUAGUGCGGGGGUGUUUGCAAAAAAGCACAUUUUUACACUUAAUCCAACGUCUUGGUCAUGUGAAGGAGGUGAUAGCAUAGCAAACUAGGCAACCGGACUAUACUGCUUUAUCACUUCCACUUAGCCAUAGGAGUUCGAUGGUGGGGCUACUAUAUAGCCCCUAGGGGCACCGCGCUCUCCGAAUUCGGGGCACGUAUGUGCCUGACCGGGAAACGGUCCUUCGUCAAAGCGGAGGAAUUCUAAACAUUCCAGUGGUCGAUCGAGUGGUUGACCAGUCUCUCGCUAUAUCAUGACAGUCAGUUUUCGGCUUUCUCUACUGAGGUGCUCACCAGGCCGAACUGGGGCACAAUCGCAGUAGUUCUCCUGGUGCCGCGUUAGCCGAUAGAACGAAACGUAAGGCAGCAAAACACAGGAGCCGGGCAAACCCAACAUUUGACCAAAGACAUGAUUCGGAGCUGAUGCAUAUAAGGCCUAACUCGAGACGCCGAACACUCCCUAAGGUAUUCGGUCUUUAUGAAAACGGGCAGAACGAUGCCCUAAGCCCCUAGUGUCCAGGUAUGCGCGAAAACUUCUGACGCGGCCGAUGCCAAAACGCCAGCCUCCUCCUCGGUUAUGGUAAGAAAUCGGGGGAUGUGUAUCAACAAGAGACAGUAAAAAAGGUUUACGCAGGGUCUUAAUCUGAAAAGAAUCCUUGCAACGGGUCCCUACUGCACGUCUGCGCCUGUGUCUCCGUUGUGCCGUAUCCUGGACGGGUGUAGCACGUUGUUCAUCUGUAAAAGAGAAGAACUUAGUUUGAAAAAAAAGAUCAUGCGAAAAAUGUAUUUAAAAUAAACAGAGUAUGAUUCAAAAAAUGAAUAAAAUUGAGCUUUAUUGGCUCUCAUUGUACAUGCGUGCAGCCCCUUGUAAAGGGGUACGCGGCUAGUAAGCCCCUUGUUUAUUUAUACCGGACUCGCCUAACCGUGUCCGGGGUCUGAAUGACCUGUUUUAGGGGCUUUGAUCAGCAAAGCCGGAUUAGUAUGUGGUUGUCAAGGCAGUCUCACGUUCUUCCACGACCGAGGAACACUCGAAGUUACCCUUUAAUGAGAUGAUGCCGUGUGGACCGGGCAUUUUUAGUGUAAGAGACGCGUAAUGCGGUAUUGCGUUAAAGCGGGCGAAAGCUUCGCGUCCCAAUAGUGCUUGAUGGCUACUUUUAAAUGGGGCGAUAUGGAAGAUUAACUUUUCGCGACGGAAGUUGUCGGGUGAACCGAACACAACUUCUAGUAGUAGAGAGCCCGUACAAUUGGCAUAUGGGCCUGGCGUCACUCCUUUAAAGGAAGUGUUGUUAUGGCGAAUUUUGGUUGGGUCUAUCUCCAUUCUGCGGAUUGUGUCCUGGUAUAGCAGGUUUAGAUCACUGCCGCUGUCCAUUAGGACUUGUGUAAAUUGUAGUCCGUCGAUUAUAGGAUCCAAUAUCAAAGCAGUCAAUCCUGCGUUUCGAAUACUUCCGGAGUAAUCCUGAUGGUUGAAAGUUAUUGGUUUUGACAUCCAGUUUCGGGACUCCGCUGGGGUGGACCGUGCGGCGCGUACUUUAGUGGGCGCCGCUCUAUUUUUCCUUGUUAUCACUUGAAGUGAAUUCACUGUUUUGACCUCUUGUGAGAAAUUCUUUUGUUUUCCGGCGCUCUGCUUGUGGGGUUCGUCAUCGUCCUCACUUGGUGUGUCGAGCCCGUUGUGUUCGGCGUAAGUCGGCCGGACUGCUUGAAGACCCAACAAUCUCUGUGGGUAUGGUUUGCAGGCUUCCCAGGGGUACUAUGGAUUUGACAUAUCCUGUCCAAGAUUUUGUUUAGGUUAGAUAGCUCGUCGCUAUUGUCCUUGAGAGGCAGUGUUUUGUUGUUCUGCCAAGAGCUUUUGAAUCCGGCGUUGACUUUCGUGCUCUUUGGGUCAUUUCCCUUAGUCCGGCGCUGGUCCUUUCUGCGUCGUGGUUUCCCAUUUCCAUCCCUGACCUCGGAUGUACUUGGGUCACUGGUGCUGCAUCUUGCCAGCCAGCUAUCCUCUCCCGCACAAAAGGGGGUCAUGAGGCUUGUUAGUGCGGCCAUUGUUCUUGGCUUUUCCUGGCCGAGGUGUCUGGCGAGCCAUUCGUCUCGGACGUUAUAUUUGAAGGCUGCUAAGGCUUCGGCGUCCGGACAGUCGACUAUUUGGUUCUUUUUGGUGAGGAACCUGUUCCAGAAUUUGCGGGCUGACUCUCCGGGCUGUUAAGUUAUGUGACUUAAAUCGUCUGCAUCCGGAGGGCGGACAUAAGUCCCCUGAAAAUUUGCCCGAAACGCAUCCUCGAGCUCUUCCCAACUUCCAAUGGUAUUUUCUGGGAGGCUUUUGAGCCAAUGCCGGGCUGGCCCUUUGAGCUUGAGGGGUAAGUAUUUUAUGGCAUGGAGGUCAUCUCCUCUAGCCAUAUGUAUGUGUAGGAUGUAAUCCUCAAUCCAGACUCCGAGGUCUGUUGUUCCGUCAUAUGCCUCUAUGUUUACGGGCUUGAAUCCCGCUAGAAAUUCAUGAUCCAGUACCUCAUCGGUGAAACAUAGGGGUGUGCGGCGCCCCUGUAUUUGGGUGUGUCGUUAUUUUCGAAUACUCGACGUGUUGUGUUGCUUUCUGGAGCUUUCUUUCUUGGCCCAUAGAUGGACCUGACCGGGCCAUCCUUUUUGCGAGGAUCCUUAUGUGGAUCGCGUGCCGGCUUGUGUGCGGUGCCGCUUGCCGCUCUUUGUUUGUCAUGUGGUCGUCUAUCCGACCGGGCGGCCUCUUUGUUUUUGUUAGGUUUCGUAGUAAUUUCAAAAUUUUCCUACGCACACGCAGGAUCAUGUGAUGCAUAGCAACGAGGGGAAGAGUAUUGUCUACGUACCCUACGCAGACCGACUGCGGAAGCGAUGACACGAUGUGGAGGAAGUAGUCGUACGUCUUCACGAUCCAACCGAUCAAGCACCGAAACUACGGCACCUCCGAGUUCGAGCACACGUUCAGCUCGAUGACGAUCCCCGGACUCCGAUCCAGCAAAGUGUCGGGGAAGAGUUCCGUCAGCACGACGGCGUGGUGACGAUCUUGAUGAACUACAGCAGCAGGGCUUCGCCUAAACUCCGCUACAGUAUUAUCGAGGAAUAUGGUGGCAGGGGGCACCGCACACGGCUAAGGAAUCGAUCACGUGGAUCAACUUGUGUCAACUUGUGUGUUUAGAGGUGCCCCUGCCUCCGUAUAUAAAGGAGUAGAGGGGGGGAGGCUGGCCGGCCAUAGAGGGAGGCGCAGGAGAGUCCUACUCCCUCUGGGAGUAGGAUUCCUCCCCCCAAUCCUAGUCCAACUAGGAUUCCUCGGAGGGGAAGGGAGAGAGGGGGGCCGGCCACCUUCUCCUAGUCCUAAUAGGACUAGGGGAGGGGGAAGAGGCGCAGCCACCUUGGGCUGCCCCUUUCUCCUUUCCACUAAGGCCCAUGAAGGCCCAUAUGGCUCCCGGGGGGUUCCGGUAACCCUCCCGGUAACCCGGUAAAAUCCCGAUUUCACCCGGAACACUUCCGAUGUCCAAACAUAGGCUUCCAAUAUAUCAAUCUUUACGUCUCGACCAUUUUGAGACUCCUCGUCAUGUCCGUGAUCACAUCCGGGACUCCGAACAACCUUCGGUACAUCAAAAUGCAUAAACUCAUAAUAUUACUGUCAUCGUUACCUUAAGCGUGCGGACCCUACGGGUUCGAGAACAAUGUAGACAUGACCGAGACACGUCUCUGGUCAAUAACCAAUAGCGGGACCUGGAUGCCCAUAUUGGCUCCUACAUAUUCUACGAAGAUCUUUAUCGGUCAGACCGCAUAACAACAUACGUUGUUCCCUUUGUCAUCGGUAUGUUACUUGCCCGAGAUUCGAUCGUCGGUAUCCAAUACCUAGUUCAAUCUCGUUAUCGGCAAGUCUCUUUACUCGUUCUGUAAUACAUCAUCUCACAACUAACAUAUUAGUUGUAAUGCUUGCAAGGCUUAUGUGAUGUGUAUUACCGAGAGGGCCCAGAGAUACCUCUCCAUCAAUCGGAGUGACAAAUCCUAAUCUCGAAAUACGCCAACCCAACAUCGACCAUUGGAGACACCUGUAGUACUCCUUUAUAAUCACCCAGUUACGUUGUGACGUUUGGUAGUACCCAAAGUAUUCCUCCGGUAAACGGGAGUUGCAUAAUCUCAUAGUCAUAGGAACAUGUAUAAGUCAUGAAGAAAGCAAUAGCAACAUACUAAACGAUCGGGUGCUAAGCUAAUGGAAUGGGUCAUGUCAAUCAGAUCAUUCUACUAAUGAUGUGACCUCGUUAAUCAAAUAACAACUCAUUGUUCAUGGUUAGGAAACAUAACCAUCUUUGAUUAACGAGCUAGUUAAGUAGAGGCAUACUAGUGACACUCUGUUUGUCUAUGUAUUCACACAUGUAUUAUGUUUCCGGUAAAUACAAUUCUAGCAUGAAUAAUAAACAUUUAUCAUGAUUAUAAGGAAAUAAAUAAUAACUUUAUUAUUGCCUCUAGGGCAUAUUUCCUUCAGUUUUUUGAUUGUGGGGGCUCUACGGCCUCCUCGUCAAAUUCGGGCAAUAGUUUGCGCUUUGGGUAGCUCUUUGCUUGGCGGCUAUCGCCGUAUUUGUCUGCGGUCUUUAGUACUUUGCUCCAUCUCAUUCUGAGUAUGUCUUCCGCUGUUUUGAGCUUCCGCUUCUACUUCUUCAGACUUCGUGCAGUGGUGACGAGCCUUUUGUGAAGGUUCUUCUGCUCCAAUGAUGUGUUCGGCGUGAGAUCAUCCGGACUGUUGUUUUCGCCGGGGAUGGGUUGUUUAUCCAACUCAUCCUGUUCGGAUGGUUGCUUGGUGGCAUGUUCGUCAUCCACUGGUUCGCCCUGCUCUACGGCUGGGUCUGUGUGGGUGCUGUCGUUGUCGAGGCGGGACUUUGGGCGGCGCUUGCGGCGCCGUUUCGGCUGUUUUUCGGGGGAAUUAUCCUUCGCAGCGUCCCGUUGUUCCUCGUUAUCGCUUCCUUUUGGUGUAUCCACCAUAUAUACAUCAUGAGUUGAGGUGGCUUUCCAGUGCCCUGUGGGUGCUGGUUCUUGGUCGUCUCCGACAUCGUCGUCCAUACCGUCGAUAUCUUCGGAGUCGAAAUCUAGCAUAUCGGUUAAGUCAUCGACAGUGGCUACAAAGUGGGUGGUGGGUGGGCUUUGAAUUUCUUCGUCGUCCGCAUCCCAACCGUCCUGGCCAUAAUCCGACCAAGGCUCUCCUGAUAAAGAGAGGCACUUUAGCGAAUUCAGGAUGUCGCCAAAAGGCGAGUGCUGAAAGAUGUCCGUAGCGGUGGACUCCAUGAUCGGCGUCCAAUCGGAUUUGAUUGGCAGGAGCGCGGAAGGUUCGGGAUCCGGAGAAGAGUCCGGCACCUUGGAGUCACAAGCUUUACAAGGGACAUGGUCGGUAUUCGGCUCCAUCGUCGUAGCAGCCCCCGAGGCGGUGUCUAGCCACCCAUCCUCGAUUGGCGCAGUCGGCUCCGAGUUAAGGGUUGGAGCGGACUCUUGUGCGGCUUCCAGGGCACUGUCCGGCAGCAGAGCUAAAUCAUGCCCAUCGUGACAGUGCGGCGCGCUUGGCUGCGGCUCGAAUCCGUCGAAGAUCAAGUCUCCACGGAUGUCGGCCGUAUAGUUCAAACUUCUAAAUCUGACCUGAUGGCCAGGGGCGUAGCUUUCGAUCUGCUCCAGAUGGCCAAGCGAAUUGGCCCGCAGUGCAAAGUCACCGAAUACGAAGAUCUGUCCGGGGAGAAAAGUCUCACCCUGGACUGUGUCGCUGUUGAUGAUCGAAGGAGCCAUCGGGCCUAUGAGCGACGACACAGAGGAACUCUCAAUGAAAGCAUCAAUGUCGGUGUCAAAACCGGCGGAUCUCGGGUAGGGGGUCCCGAACUGUGCGUCUAGGCGGAUGGUAACAGGAGACAAGGGACACGAUGUUUUUACCCAGGUUCGGGCCCUCUCGAUGGAGGUAAAACCCUACUCCUGCUUGAUUAAUAUUGAUGAUAUGGGUAGUACAAGAGUAGAUCUACCACGAGAUCAAGGAGGCUAAACCCUAGAAGCUAGCCUAUGGUAUGAUUGUUGUUCGUCCUACGGACUAAAACCCUCCGGUUUAUAUAGACACCGGGGAAGGCUAGGGUUACACAGAGUCGGUUACAAUGGUAGGAGAUCUACAUAUCCGUAUCGCCAAGCUUGCCUUCCACGCCAAGGAAAGUCCCAUCCGGACACGGGACGAAGUCUUCAAUCUUGUAUCUUCAUAGUCUUGGAGUCCGGCCAAUGAUGAUAGUUCGGCUAUCCGGACACCCCCUAGUCCAGGACUCCCUCAGUCAGGCCCUAGUUGCGAGUCAUGGGUAGACUUACAACUGGGACAAAAAAAGAUCGGGAUCUAGUUGCGAGUCAAGGGUGAACUUGCAACUGGGACAAAAACAGUUGCGCCCCAGUUGCGAGUUAAGGGUGGAUUUGCGGGUAGGACAAAAAAAAGUGUUGGCACCAGUUGCGAGUCGAGGGGGUACUUAAGGCUGAGGGAGAAAAUGUCGGCCUGAGUUGCGAGUUGAGGGUGGAGUUGAAAGUAGGGCAAAAAAAGAUCGAGCUCCAGUUGCGAAUCAAGGAUGGACUUGCAACUGAGAAAUAAAAGGUCGGACCCUAGUUGCGAGUUGAUUCUAGACUCGUAACUGGGACAAAAAAAGGUCAGGACCCAGUUGUGAGUUGAGGAUGGACUCGUAAUUGGAGAAAAAAUGGUGGGCCAAGUUGCGAGUCGACGAUAGACUUGUAACUGGAAACAAAAGUUGACCCUAGUUGUGAGUCGAGGUUGGACUAUCAACCGAAAAAAGGCCGACCUCGUUUGUAAGUCGAUGGGUGAACUUGUAACUAGGAUAAAAAAAGGCAGGCUCCACUUGCGAGUCGACGGUGGACUUGCAAUUGGGACUAAAAAAGGUCGGGUUCCGUUGCGAGUCGAGAGUGAACUUGCAACUGGGACACAAAAGGUUGCCUUAGUUGAGAAUCGAGAGUAGACUUGCAAUUGAAAAAAAAAGAGUUCGGGCCUAAUUGCGAGUCGAGGUAGACUUGUGACUGAGACAAAAAAAAGGUCGUUGUUCAGUUGCGAGUCGAGGAUGGGAUUGUAACUCGGACGAAAGAAGAUUGAGCAUCAGAUGCAAGUUGAUGAUGUACUUGCAACUAGAACAAGAAAAAAAAAAUAGGUCUCUGUGUUUGUGGUGGACAGUAAACUAACAACUAUGAAAAAGAAUCCUGAAUUCAAAAAUAUGGAAAAGAAAGAUAAAUAAAUAUAAAAGAUCUUAAAUUUAAAAAGGUUACGAACUUGAAACAAAAAAUGAAAAAAGAGGAUAAAGGAAAAAAGAAACAAAAAAGAAAAUAAAAAAUCCCUUGUGGCUGUGACCACGCUGAGGCAACUCAAACGCAACAACUGGACCCCUCGCGUGAAUGAUGCGUACAAUACCGACGCCAAGCGAUGCGAACCAACCUUUGGUUGGAUGGUUAGAGAGACUGUGGUAUUCUCAACCCAUCAGGGUUCAAAUCCUGGUGCUCGCAUUUAUUUCUGGAUUUAUUUUAGGUUUUCCGGCGAUGCGCAUUCAGUGGGAGGAGACGUUCCCGUCUAUGACGAGGUGCCUACGGUGACUUCGUAAAUUUCAAGAUGAUAUGCCGGCUCAGUCUUUCAGAGGUGCUCAUAAGGGUAGGGUGUGCGUGUGUGCGUUUAUAGGGGUGAGUGUAUGCGCGUGUAUAUGAGCGCUUGUGUCUGUACUGAUGUUUAAGAAAAACGCCAAGCGACAAAAUAAACAAAAAAUAUUAAUCUUGAUGACUAUAUCAUACGGUUCAUCUAGAUGUGAAAUAGUAAAUUUGUAAUUUCCUAUGCUUGUAUAAAUGAAUAAAGGAUGUUUGAAGUGUCAAAAAGAAAAAAAACACGCCUUGUCUAGCAGAUGCUCCUAUGCAUCAUCUCGUUGUACUGCAGCAAGGAGAUCUGCCGCUGCAUCCUCAUCUGCAAGUAGAAGUUGGCGAUGAACUCCUCAGCCUUCACGUCCACCCCGGCGUCCUCGCCGUCCUCUUGUUCCGCGGCGCCGAAGUUCGCGCAGCUCGCUCCCAUCACCGCCCGCUGGAGCAGCUGCUCCUCCGCGCAAUCGUCGAGGUUCUCGACGCCGUACUCGCUCGGCCCGGCACCGUGGCCGUCCCCGACGCUGCCCGCGUCCUUCUCGCGCGGGUCACAGAAGAAGUAGCGGUCGCCACUGUAGUCGUCGGGGGUGUCCGGGACGGCGGGGGCGAUGCAGGGGAUGAAGCGGAGCACGCGCGCGGAGGGGGCGCGGAACCGGAACGCCGGCGUCUCGUCGAUGGAGAACUCGCGCUCACCGUAGCGCAGCCGGUCGCUGCGCCCGCUGCGCCCCAGGGUCUUGAGCAGGCGGAGGCCGUGCACCACGACUCCCUUCCGCGCCCGGAGCACCGCCAGCCGCAGCAGCCGCCACGCCCGCCCUCGGAUCGACGCCCUCCUCAUCGCCUUAGGCGUCGUCGUCGCCAUUGUAGUGCUGUCCACCAGAAUAGCAGCCGCCUCUGUUGCUUGCUGCAAUGCUGCUCUGCUGUUUCGCCUCUACUAUGCAAAGUUAGUGAUGAGAUGAGCGGGGCAGGGAGUGCGGCAUAAAUAGGGAGCUGGCAGCUGGCUUUGCUUGUGCUGUGUGUCGUGUGGCGGGAGCCGGAGCGCGAUGGGAGAGAAGCGAAGCGAGCGCGUUUGUUUGGCUGCUCGCUUCGGGGUUGGCACAGAGCUGGAGGCUAGAGCGGCGGGGUGACUAGAGUCGUGUCGUGUGGACGGCGUCCGCCAGGGAAGGGUGGACGCAUAGUGCGCGCCGGAUCGACCAGACGGACGGCGGGAAAGAAGCGAUGCGUUUCUGGACAUGCAGACGUUUCGUGGGUUCAGUUUCCAGCUCCUCGUUUUCCGAACACGGUUUUGUUUUGCCUGCAGAGGCGUCGACCGGUAGGGUACUACUGCUACGAGUUUCUCUGCCGAGUACCGACAGGCAACUGUGAAGAGCGAAGACUGGGACCUGCUGGAUUUACGUGCUUCUUUUGGCGGGGGAUUUAGGGCAUGUACAAUGGUUGAUAAGAUAAUCUUAUCUUAAGUCUUGCAUGUAAUCUAGAGAUGACAAAAAACAGAGUCUACAAUGGGUCAUCUCUUAGCCUUAUCUUCAAUAACUAGCAAUUCCUAAAAACGUGUUGAGACAUAUUGUGCUAAGAGAUCAUCUCUUGUCUUCUCUUAAAUAAGAUAAGACAAGCCUUUUCUUAUAAGUUCUUUCUCCUCCACCUCAUCAUUUAUCCUACGUGGCACUCCUAAGAUAGAACCAUUGUACAUGCCCUUACGUGCUUUCCAUGGUGCUUCGUGCUACGUUUUGUUGCAUACAUGGCCUCAACUGUAGUUUUCUUGGCGCAGACAAAGCUUUGCCGUGGGUUUUGCUCCCAGUCCCGUCUCAGUUUUAGUAGUGAGAUAGUGUCAAAAGGUCGAUUUGUAGUCAGGAACAUGUAAAAAAAUAAAGUUAGUAUCUUAGGGCAUCUCCAACCUGACACUCAGAUCCAACACCGUAUCCGUUCGCGGACCGGUGUGCAAAGUUUAAUAAAGUAAACAAAUUUUAUUAAACAAGACCGAUUUCAACUUAGUUCAGACAUAAUUCACAUAAAACAAACGAUAUUUUAACCGUUUGACUAAAAACUAGAAAAAGCUAGCAUGCUAACUUGUAGCGGAAGACAACCUCGUACCCAUGGCCGCCCUGGCCGGCUGCACCACCGUCGCCGUCAUCCUUCCAGCGGCGGAAUGGCGCUGGGCCACGACAGCCUUGCCCGGUCGCCGCUUGGCACUCCCGGAGGAGCCGUUUCGCUUCCUCCUGCGCAGUGUGGAGGCCCGUCGCGGCCAAUGCUGCCCCGGCAGAUGAAGCCAUGUACCUAGAGUAGGGUCAUGGACCUGUCAAGAUACCCUCCUCAAGGACAUCUCUAGAAGAAGCUACCUUUCAGUCGACCUGGAAGGAUUCCACUCGACGAACUCGAAGACACUCGACCAUGAAGCCAUUCACUCGACCACCAGGAGAUCUAGAGUCACUCUGCACCCAAACGGUCGGUCAUUAAGUAGUCUUUAUGAUCAUCAUAGCACUUUAUGUAUGGCGUUACCAGUAACGCCAGGUCUUAAUGUACCUUAAACCCUGCAUAACUGAGGGCCGGAGGGGUCUGGCGGACUCUAUAUAAGCCACCCCCUCCUCAGUGUAAAGGGUUCACACCCCUGUAACUCAUACGCACAUAAUCCAGUCGACCGCCUCCGGGCUCCGAGACGUAGGGCUAUUACUUCCUCCGAGAAGGGCCUGAACUCGUAAACAUCUUGCGUAUACAACUACUCCAUAGCUAGGAUCUUGCCUCUCCAUUCCUACCCCCCUAUUCUACUGUCAGACUUAGAACCACGACAGUUGGCGCCCACCGUGGGGCAGGUGUCUUAGCGACCUAUUGGAGAAGUUGCGAUUGUUCCGAUCUCCUUCGUCAUGGUUUCAGGCGGAGUUUUGGUUGAGGGCCGCGAGAUCCGUCUCGGCGCGCUCACGUUCAUUGCCGACGACUCCGCUUGGCUUCAAGAGGCUCCACUCAACAUCGACGCGCUCCCCGUCCGCGGGGCGACGCACUUCCGUGUGUGCGUCCGCGGCGUCCUCCUGCGGCAACCGUCAACCCCAUAUCCGUCUACUCAUGUGUCAUCCUCCUCCCUGUCUCCUGCUGGCGCAAGCGCUCCGGUCGGUCAAGGCUUCAGCGGUGGGUGAGGCACGCGGUAGCUUGCCAGUCGGCCACUCCCCAAGUCGCGGCGAUCGAGCCCGACGAAUCUCUCUACGGCUUGUUCGACCGGCUCCGUAGAGACUGCAUCCGAGUGCGACAGCAGUGAUCCGGCGGCGGAGGUUCUGAUGGUCAAUGGACCACGCAGUCCUCCCGGUUUUCCCCGCACCGACGGAGUCGACGGCAGAGGCGAUCCGGCGCACGCCCACGAAGAAUAUCAGCCCGAGCCCCUCACGUCGCUACAAAGGGAAGAUCUUCGCCGCCGGAACAUGGAUGCGAUGCAUACUCCUAUCGUUGGAGAAACCCCCGAGGCUCGUGCCUUAGAGGACGCGCUUUGGCCAACUUGGCUGAGCGCACUCGACUGGAGAACCUCCAGCGAGCACUCGACGAGCGUGCACGGCAACGGGUCCCAGACUCCAGUUGACGACAACUCUUUCCACCACCGACUCAGGUAUAUCGAACUCCGAUUCAGAAUUUAGCAGCUGCAGCCCGUAUAGCAGAGUCGAUUCAGCCCUCUCAGUCAGAGGCUGGCAGAGGCUUGAUGCAGAUCAGAGAUUUACUCCGGGCAGCAGGAGAUCAAAAUUCAGCUGUAUCGUAGUCGCGAAACAAGAUUCACAGCAGAUCCGUCGCUGCGAAUUCAGUCCAGUCCGCCCAUAGCCCAAGAUCGCCCCCGAGGCGUGAGGGACGUGGAGGCCGGCGUGAUCAGUAUGACGACCGAUUCGAUCGCGAUGAUCGACGUAGAGUGCCCACUCCUCCCCCAAGGGGUGGGUCAUACGCUCCUCGACAGCAAGAUGACAGACGCCAGCACAGUGUUGGGCGAAGGGUUCCAGUCGACCCCGGAGAACCAGGCUUUGGUGCGAGAUCCAUUAUCGUUCAAGGUUUGGUCGACCGGAACAGAGCUCACCGAGAAGGCCAUGACAGAGAUGUGCCCACCAGCAGCAGAGUUCAUGUCUCAGGACCAGAGUGUUUUAGCAGAGCCAUCAGGGUCGCGGUGAUUCCUCCCAACUUCAGGUUGGCGACUGGAGUCAGUAAGUUUGGUGAGUCCAAGCCCGAUACUUGGCUUGAGGACUACCAAGUGGCUGUUCAGAUUGGCGGCAGCAAUGAUGAGGUGGCCAUGAAACACCUACCUCUUAUGUUGGAGGGCUCGGCCAGAGCAUGGCUGAAUCAGUUGGCACCUAGCAUCAUUUACACUUGGGAAGAUCUUGCCCGAGUGUUUGUCAGAACAUUUGAAGGAACUUGCAAACGACCAGCAGGGUUGACAGAGCUGCAGGUUUGUGUGCAGAAGUCAAAUGAGACUAUGAGGGAUUACAUCCAGAGGUGGAUCACAUUGCAUCACACGGUGGAGAAUGUAUCUGACCACCAGGCAGUCUGUGCCUUCAAGGAAGGCGUUAAGAACAGAGAGCUAAGUUUGAAAUUCGGUCGGACCGGAGACAUGACCCUGAGUCGAAUGAUGGAGAUUGCCACCAAGCAUGCGAAUGGUAAAGAAGAGGAUCAGCUUCGGAGUGGCAAGUACAAGCCAACCGCUCAUGAAACCGGGGGAGGUAACUCCAGUUGGAAGCAGAAGCGGAAAGCCGAGCCGGCUGCUCCGGGUGAAGCCUUGGCCGUGACUCAAGGAAAGUUCAAAGAGAAACCCAAAGGGUCUUGGAACCCUAAGAAGGUGAAGGACAAGGAAGGAAAUGACGUGAUGGAUUUGCCGUGCCAAAUCCACACGAAGAAAGAUGAGGAUGGUAAAUUCAUUUACCCGAAACAUACCACUUGACAGUGUCAACUCUUGAUCCAGCAAUUUUAGGGGAAACAACCCAAAGAUAAGGAAAAGGAGUCGGAAAAAGUUAAAGACAAAGAAGAAAGUGAUGAUGGAUAUCCCCAGGUCAAUUCCACCUUGAUGAUUUUUGCUGAUGUUAAAAGCAAAAGUCGAUUGAAAGUUAUCAACCGUGAAGUGAAUAUGGUUGCUCCGGCAACUCCCAGUUACCUGAAAUGGUCUCAGACUGCCAUCACAUUCGACCAGUCCGAUCAUCCAACACACAUUACCACCCCUGGGAGGCAAGCUUUGGUGGUCGACCCAGUCAUCGAAGGCACUCGACUGACCAAAGUCUUGAUGGAUGGUGGCAGUGGCCUGAACAUAUUGUAUGCGGAGACGCUAAAAGGGAUGGGCAUUCCGAUGUCCAGACUCAGUACCAGCAACAUGAGUUUCCAUGGAGUCAUUCCUGGGAAGAAGGCUGAGUCACUCGGCCAAAUUGCUCUUGAUGUGGUUUUCGGUGAUUCAAAGCAUUACCGCAAAGAAAAGUUGACGUUUGAAGUCGUGGAUUUCCAGAGUGCUUAUCACGCUAUUUUAGGCAGGCCAGCUUAUGCACGCUUCAUGUCUCGACCAUGUUAUGUGUACCUCAAAUUGAAGAUGCCUGGUCCCAAGGGUGUGAUCACCAUUACUGGCAAUCAGAAAAAGGCAGAAGAGUGCUUUCAGAAGGGCUCAAAGAUCGCUGAUGCUCAGAUGGCAGUGGUAGAGCUACAAAUACCAGAAAACUACAGAUCCGAGUGAUUUGUUGUGAGCUAAGAAGCCCGCUACAGAGUCAGUGUUCCAGUCGUCCGGUGAGACAAAGCCCGUUCACAUUCACCCGACCGACCCCAGUGCUGCUCUGACUCAUAUCUCCACAACACUCGACUCUAAAUAGGAAGAAGCGCUCAUCCAGUUCCUCCGUGAGAACUGGGACAUCUUCGCAUGGAAGCCUGCUGACAUGCCGGGUGUUCCCAGGGGGCUGGCUGAGCAUCGUCUACGAGUCGACUCAAAAAUGAAACCUGUCAAGGUACAUCUUUGACGGUCCGCCGUCCAGAAGAGAAAGGCCAUUGGCGAAGAGGUGGCUCGGCUCCUAGCAGCAGAGUUUAUCCGAGAGAUUUACCACUCCGAGUGGCUCGCUAAUGUUGUCAUGGUCCCCAAGAAGGACAAGUCACUUCGCAUGUGCAUUGACUUUAAACAUAUCAAUCGGGCCUGCCCGAAAGAUCAUUUUCCUCUCCCCCGCAUCGACCAAAUAGUCGACUCGACCGCGGGAUGUGAGCGCCUGUCUUUUUUAGACGCCUAUUCCAGUUACCAUCAGAUCCGUCUGUAUGGACCCGACAAGAUUAAAACAGCUUUCAUCACUCCAUUCGGGUGCUUCUGCUAUGUCACCAUGCCAUUCGGCCUUACAAAUGCCGGAGCCACGUUCAUGAGGAUGAUUCAGAAGUGUUUGCUCACUCAAAUCAGUCGGAAUGUGGAAGCAUACAUGGAUGAUAUUGUGGUCAAAUCGCGGAAGGGUUCCGACCUGUUGACUGACUUCGCUGAAACAUUUGCCAAUCUCAGGAGGUAUGAUAUCAAGAUUAAUCCAUCAAAGUGCACAUUCGGAGUUCCUGGCGAAAAGUUACUCGGUUUUCUUGUUUCCGAACGAGGAAUCGACGCCAACCCAAAAAAAGUUGGUACUAUACUCCGAAUGAAACGCCCUGUGUGUGUGCAUGAUGUCCAGAAGCUUACUGGAUGCUUGGCCGCUUUAAGUCGAUUCAUCUCUCAUCUCAGUGAAAAGGCAUUGCCUCUUUACCGACUGAUGAAUAAGUCAGACAAGUUCGAGUGGACUCCAGAAGCUGAUGCAGCGUUUGCAGAGCUAAAAGCUGUGCUCUCCACCCAGCCGGUGCUUGCUGCCCCAGUCAGCAAAGAGCCUUUGUUGCUUUACAUUGCAGCCACAGGACAAGUCGUCAGUAUAAUACUUACGGUCGAGCGGGAAGAAGAAGGAAAAGUCUUCAAAGUUCAGCGCCCAGUAUAUUAUCUUUCCGAAGUGUUGACCCCAUCGAAGCAAAGAUACCCUCAUUAUCAGAAGCUUGUAUAUGGGAUUUAUAUGACCACAAAGAAGGUUGCUCAUUAUUUCUCUGAUCAUUCCAUUACAGUCGUCAGCGACGCCCCAUUAUCAGAGAUUCUGCACAACAGAGAUGCGACUGGUCGAGUGGCAAAAUGGGCGAUUGAACUCCUUCCCCUUGAUAUCAAGUUUGAGGCAAAGAAAGCCAUUAAGUCCCAAGCAGUAGCUGAUUUCAUCGCCGAGUGGAUUGAACAACAACUGCCGACUCAGAUUCACUCGAAGCACUGGACCAUGUUCUUUGAUGGUUCUAAGAUGCUGAAUGGUUCCGAUGCUGGGGUAGUGUUGGUUUCCCCCGAGGAGAUAAGCUCAGAUAUGUGCUCCAGAUCCACUUUGAUUCCUCCAACAAUGAAGCAGAAUACGAAGCACUUUUGUAUGGGUUGCGUAUGGCCAUUUCACUCGGCGUCCGUCGCCUCAUGGUCUAUGGCGACUCACAUUUGGUGUUUAAUCAGGUGAUGAAGGAGUGGGACGUCAGAAGUCCAGCCAUGACUGGUUACUGCAAUGCAGUGAGAAAGCUAGAGAAGAAAAUUGAGGGGUUAGAGCUUCAUCAUAUACCCCGACUGAAAAAUCAAGCGGCUGAAUUUGGCAAAGAUAGGUUCCAAGAGAGAAGUCAUUCCCAGUAAUGUGUUUUUGGAACACAUCCAUACCCCAUCAGUUCAAGAGGAUCCUUUCACCGAAGAAGCUCCACAGCCAAAAAGUGUCACAGAUCCGACUGAAGUUGAAGUUCUAGCUGUGGUCGACCUGAUCAUGGAAGUUUUGGUCAUCACUCCCGACUGGACAGAGCCGUACAUCGCGUAUAUCCUAAGGAAAGAGCUCCCGGAAAAUGAAGAAGAGGCUCGAUAGAUCGUCCGUCGAUCCAAAGCCUUUACCAUGAUAAAGGGAUAGUUGUACAGAGAAAGCGCGACUGGAGUCGGUCAGAAAUGUAUAACGCUAGAAGAAGGUCGGAUAAUCCUUGACGAUAUCCACUCGGGGACCUGUGGUCAUCAUGCGUCCUCUCGGACCAUUGUGGCUAAAGCAUACCGAGCGGGAUUUAUUGUCCAAGAGCAAAUGAAAUGGCAAAGGAGAUAGUAGACAAGUGUGAAGGAUGUCAGUUUUAUUCCAAUCUAUCGCACAAACCCGCCUCAGCCUUGAAGACCAUUCCACUCGUCUGGCCCUUCGCUGUUUGGGGGUUAGAUAUGGUUGGACCACCGAGAACUGGCAGGAGCGGCUUCACUCACUUGCUAGUAGCAGUCGACAAGUUUACCAAAUGGAUUGAAGCUAAGCCCAUCAAGAAUCUGGAUACUGGCACUGCUAUCAGCUUCAUCAGAGAGUUGGUGUUCAGAUAUGGAGUUCCGCACAGCAUCAUCACUGAUAAUGGGUCAAACUUCGAUUUUGAUGAAUUCAGAGCCUUUUGCGCAUCUCAAGGCACAUGAGUCGACUAUGCUUCAGUCGCUCACCCCCAGUCGAAUGGACAAGAAGAACGAGCAAAUGGUCUAAUUCUCAAAGGACUGAAACCCCGACUGAUGCGCAAUCUCAAACACGCAGCAGGCGCAUGGGUCGACGAACUUCCGUCAAUUCUUCGGGAUUAAGGACCACUCCUAAUCGGUCGACUAGGAGAACUCCGUUCUUCCUGGUCUAUGGAGCUGAAGCGGUCCUGCCGAGUGACCUGCUUCACAAUGCACCCCGAGUCGAACUCUACACUGAAGAUGAAGCAGAGCAAGCCUGGCAGGACGCAGUCGACCUUCUAGAAGAAGAAAGAGAGAUGGCCAUGAUCCGAUCGACUAUCUAGCUGCAGGACUUGCGUCGAUUCCAUGCCAGAAAUGUGAAGAGUCGACCUUCCAAGAAGGAGAUUUGGUUCUCCGAGUGGAUCAGCAGAAGCCACACAAGCUUGCUCCUACUUGGGAAGGUCCCUUCAUCAUCACCAAAGUCCUCCACAAUGGAGUGUACCGUCUUUACAAUGUCGAUCGCCAGAUUGACGAGCCAAGAACUUGGAACGCGGAGCUGCUCUGCCCCUUUUAUACUUAAGUAUUCACUCGGAUGAGAUGUAAUAAAAGUACUUCUGUAGUUUGUUUUUCAAAGACAAGAAUGUUAUAAUUUUCCCAGAGAUUGUUGUUACUUUUGUUUACGUAAAAAAUCCCCUAGUGGGUGGCUUAGUUGUGAAUCCGUUUCGCCUAAGUUUGUAAAAAAAAUCCCUGCCGAGUGGUGAGCCAGCCUCCCACUCGGGGGCUCAGCUGCGAAUCUGUUUCGCCUAAGUUUAAGGAAAAAUCCUACCGAGUGGUGAGCCAGCCUCCCACUCAGAGGCUUAGCUGCAGUCCAAGUACUCGCCUAAGUGUUUAAAAUCCUACCGAGUGGUGAGCCAGCCUACCACUCGGGGGCUUAGCUGCAGUCCAAGUACUCGCCUAAGUGUUUAAAAUCCUACCGAGUGGUGAGCCAGCCUCCCACUCGGGGGCUUAGCUGUAGUCCAAGUACUCGCCUAAGUGUUUAAAAUCCUACCGAGUGGUGAGCCAGCCUCCCACUCGGAGGCUUAGCUGCAGUCCAAGUACUCACCUAAGUGUUUAAAAUCCUACCGAGUGGUGAGCCAGCCUCCCACUCAGAGGCUUAGCUGCAGUCCAAGUACUCGCCUAAGUAUUUAAUACAAUGUGCGCUCUGCAAGGAGGACGAGGUGCAGGUCGACUGUUACCUUCUCCUUCCGAGCUACGCCACAAAUACAAUGUGCACUCUGCAAGGACGACGAGGUGCGGGUCGACUGCUACCUUCUCCUUCCGAGCUACACCACAAAUACAAUAUGCGCUCUGCAAGGAGGACGAGGUGCAGGUCGACUGUUACCUUCUCCUUCCGAGCUACGCCACAAAUACAAUGUGUGCUCUNNNNNNNNNNNNNNNNNNNNNNNNNNNNNNNNNNNNNNNNNNNNNNNNNNNNNNNNNNNNNNNNNNNNNNNNNNNNNNNNNNNNNNNNNNNNNNNNNNNNNNNNNNNNNNNNNNNNNNNNNNNNNNNNNNNNNNNNNNNNNNNNNNNNNNNNNNNNNNNNNNNNNNNNNNNNNNNNACUGCUACCUUCUCCUUCCGAGCUACGCCACAAAUACAAUGUGCGCUCUGCAAGGACGACGAGGUGCAGGUCGACUGCUACCUUCUCCUUCCGAGCUAUGCCACAAAUACAACGUGCGCUCUGCAAGGACGACGAGGUGCGGGUCGACUGUUACCUUCUCCUUCGGAGCUACACCACCAAAAAUCCUACCAAGUGGAGAGCAAACCUCCCACUCGGGGGCUUAGCUGCAGUCCAGUACUUGCCUAAGUAUCCGAAAAUCCUACCGAGUCGAGAGCAAACCUUCCACUCGGGGGCUUAGCUGCAGUCCAAUACUCGCCUAAGUAUCUGGGAAUCCUACCGAGUGGAGAGCAAACCUCUCACUCGGAGGCUUAGCUGUAGCCCAGUGCUCGCCUAAGUAUCUGAAAAUCCCACCGAGUAGAGAGCAAUCCUCUCACUCGGGGGCUUAGCUGCAGCCUAGUGCUCUCCUAAGUAUCUGAAAAUCCCACCGAGUAGAGAGCAAUCCUCCCACUCAGGGGCUUAGCUGCAGCCCAGUGCUCGCCUAAGUACUUAAUCUAUUCCGCUCUACAAGGAUGACGAGGCGUAGGUCGACUGCUACCUUCUCCCUUCGAGCUACGCCACAAAUACAAUGUGCACUCCAGCUGUGCUUCGUCCCUACCUGCAAAAAGCGGUGAAGUGCAGGUCAAGUAUAUUCCGAGCGAAGAAGAAAAUUCGCUCGAAGGCAAAUGCAAGCAUAUUCAACGAUAAGCAAAGUUCAGAUAACGGAUUCAAAAGUGCUCAGGCGUCAAGCCUGUAGAAGUUUAUCGGUUACAAAACCACUCGGCAUCCCGAGGCAAAUUUAAGGUGAAGCAUAGAAGUUUUUUACUCAAGUGGAGGACUGGAGGGCGCGACAAACUAGUCCAGGUCGAUUCCAUCAGCAAUCUGAGUGGCAGCAGCAAUGAAGGUCUCCAUGAAAGAUUGGAAGUCAUGCUUCUUGGUGUUGGCCACUGAGGGAGUCCUGGACUAGGGGGUGUCCGGAUAGCCGAACUAUCAUCAUCGGCCGGACUCCAAGACUAUGAAGAUACAAGAUUGAAGACUUCGUCCCGUGUCCGGAUGGGACUUUCCUUGGCAUGGAAGGCAAGCUUAGCGAUACGGAUAUGUAGAUCUCCUACCAUUGUAACCGACUCUGUGUAACCCUAGCCCUCUCCGGUGUCUAUAUAAACCGGAAGGUUUUAGUCCAUAGGACAGAACAACAAUCAUACCAUAGGCUAGCUUCUAGGGUUUAGCCUCCUUGAUCUCGUGGUAGAUCCACUCUUGUACUACCCAUAUCAUCAAUAUCAAUCAAGCAGGAGUAGGGUUUUACCUUCAUCGAGAGGGCCCGAACCUGGGUAAAAACAUUGUGUCCCUUGUCUCCUAUUACCAUCCGCCUAGACGCACAGUUCGGGACCCCCUACCCGAGAUCCGCCGGUUUUGACACCGACAUUGGUGCUUUCAUUGAGAGUUCCUCUAUGUCGUCACCGAUAGGCUUGAUGGCUCCUUCGAUCAUCAACAACAACGACGCUGUCUAGGGUGAGACUUUUCUCCCCGGACAGAUCUUCGUAUUUCGGCGGCUUUGCACUGCGGGCCAAUUCGCUUGGCCAUCUCGAGCAGAUCGAAAGCUACACCCCUGGCCAUCAGGUCAGAUUUGGAAGUCUGAACUUCACGGCUGACAUCCACGGAGACUUGAUCUUCGAUGGAUUCGAGCCACAGCCGAGCGCGCCGCACUGUCAUGAUGGGCAUGAUCUAGCUCUGCUGCCGGACAGUGCCCUGGAGGCCGCACAUGAGUCCGCUCCGACCCUUAAUUCGGAGCCGGCUGCGCAGAUCGAGGACGGGUGGCUAGACACCGCCUCAGGGGCUGCAACCUCUACGGUGAUGGAGCCGAAUACUGACCUUGUCCCUUGUGAAGCUCAUGACUCCGAGGUGCCGGACUCCGAACCUCCCGCGCCCCCUCCAAUCGAAUCCAAUUGGGCGCCGAUCAUGGAGUUCAUCGCUGCGGACAUCUUUCAACACUCACCUUUCGGCGACAUCCCGAAUUCGCUAAAGUACCUCUCGUUAUCAGGAGAGCCCUGGCCACACUACGGUCAAGACGGUUGGGAUGCGGACGACGAAGAAAUUCAAAGCCCACCCACCACCCACUUAGUAGCCACUGUCGAUGAUCUAACCGACAUGCUAGACUUCGACUCCGAAGACAUCGACGGUAUGGACGACGAUGCCGGAGACAACCAAGAACCAGCGCCUACUGGGCACUGGAAAGCCACCUCGUCAUAUGACAUAUACAUGGUGGAUAUCCCAAAGGAUGGGAAUGGCGAGGGAACAAGGGAGGAAGACCCCUCCAAGAAACAGCCCAAGCGCCGGCGUCAGCGGCGCCGCUCUAAAUCCCGCCACAGCAAGAAUGGAGAUUCCGACACCAGAGAUAAUAAUACCCCAGACAGUGCCAAAGACAACCCCCUCCAGCAAGAUCCAGCACAGGAGGACGGAGAAGCCAGCCCUCAUGAGAGAGCGGCAGACGAAGAGGUAGAGGAUGAUAAUUACAUGCCUCCCUCCGGAGACGAGGCAAGCCUCGACGACGACGAAUUCGUCGUGCCUGAGGAUCCCGUCGAACAAGAGCGUUUUAAACGCAGGCUUAUGGCCACGGCAAAUAGCCUCAAGAAAAAGCAGCAACAACUUAGAGCUGGUCAAGAUCUGCUAGCCGACAGAUGGACCGAAGUCCUUGCGGCCGAAGAGCAUGAACUCGAACGCCCCUCCAAAAGCUACCCCAAACACAAGCUGCUCCCCCGAUUAGAGGAGGAGGCAUAUAAACCUGCAUCACCAGUGCACAAUACGGCUAACCGACCACCCCGUGGCCGAGACAGAGAGGCCUCCAGGCCCUCCACCAGAACCGUACCCCGGCAUCGCUCGAAAAGCACAAAGCCACAUGGGAACGCUCUAGACUUGUGAGAUAUAUUGGAGGAUAAGGCAAGACAAUCAAGAUCGAUCUAUGGAUCACGUGGGCGCCCCAUGAUACGCGACGACAACCGUCGCGCCGGACACAGCAAGUCCGGCCGGGCCGAACACAAUAGACAAAGCUCGUUUGAGCUACGUCGUGAUAUAGCCCAAUACAGAGGCGCCGCACACCCACUAUGCUUCACAGAUAAAGUAAUGGAUCAUCAAAUCCCCGAAGGGUUUAAACCCGUGAAUAUUGAAUCCUAUGAUGGCACAACAGACCCCGCGGUUUGGAUUGAAGACUAUCUCCUCCAUAUCCACAUGGCCCGCGACGAUGAUCUUCACGCCAUCAAAUACCUCCCACUGAAGCUUAAAGGCCCAGCUCGGCAUUGGCUUAACAGCUUGCCAGCAUAAUCAAUUGGGUGCUGGGAGGACCUGGAAGCUGCAUUCCUUGAUAACUUCCAGGGCACAUACGUGCGACCACCACACGCCGAUGACCUAAGCCACAUAAUUCAGCAGCCAGACGAAUCGGUCAGACAAUUCUGGACACGAUUCUUAACAAAGAAAAAUCAAAUCGUCGACUGUCCGGAUGCAGAGGCUCUCGCAGCCUUCAAACAUAACAUCUCCGAUGAGUGGCUUGCCCGGCACCUAGGACAGGAAAAGCCGAAAUCCAUGGUAGCCCUCACAUCACUCAUGACCCGCUUCUGCACGGGAGAGGACAGCUGGCUAGCCCGCAGUAACAACCUCAGCAAAAAUUCUGGCAGUUCGGAUACUAAGGACAGCAAUGGCAGGUCGUGUCGCAACAAGAACAAACGCCGCGUUAACGGCGGUAAUACUGAGGAUAAGGCAGUCAAUGCCGGAUUCAGAGGCUCCAAACCCGGUCAGCGGAAAAAGCCAUUCAAAAAAACUACUCUGGGUCCGUCCAAUUUGGACUGAAUACUCGACCGCUCGUGCCAGAUACACGGCACCCCCGAAAAGCCAGCUAAUCACACCAACAGGGACUGUUGGGUAUUCAAGCAGGCACGCAAGCUAAUUGCCGGAAACAAUGACAAGGGGCUGCAUAGCGAUGACGAGGAAGAGACCCGACCGCCGAACAAUAGAGGACAGAAGGGUUUCCCCCCACAAGUGCGGACGGUGAACAUGAUAUACACAACCCACAUACCCAAGAGGGAGAGGAAGCGUGCACUCAGGGACGUAUACGCGAUGGAGCCAGUCGCCCCGAAGUUCAACCCAUGGUCCUCCUGCCCGAUCACCUUUGAUCGAAGGGACCACCCCACCAGCAUCCGCCAUGGCGGGUUCGCCGCAUUGGUUCUAGACCCAAUCGUCGACGGGUUUCACCUCACUAGAGUCCUGAUGGACGGCGGCAGCAGCCUGAACCUGCUUUACCAGGAUACAGUGCGCAAGAUGGGCAUAGACCCCUCAAGGAUUAAACCCACAAAGACGACCUUCAAAGGCGUCAUACCAGGUGUAGAAGCCAACUGUACAGGCUCAGUUACACUGGAGGUGGUCUUCGGAUCCCCAGAUAACUUCCGAAGCGAGGAGUUAAUCUUCGACAACGUUCCGUUCCGCAGUGACUAUCAUGCACUGCUUGGACGAACCGCAUUUGCAAAGUUCAAUGCGGUGCCGCAUUACACAUACCUCAAGCUCAAGAUGCCAGGCCCUCGAGGAGUCAUCACGGUCAACGGAAACACUGAACGCUCCCUCCGAACAGAGGAACACACAGCGGCUCUCGCGGCAGAAGUGCAAAGCAGCCUCUUAAGGAAAUUCUCGAGUCCGACCGUUAAACGACCGGACACGGCUAAACGCGCUCGGAGUAACCUACAACAAGACCACCUGGCAUGUUCUGAGCACGCGUAGCAAUGCGGCCCCAACCCCAGCCCUUGCAAAAUUGCAAGACCGGUCCUUCGCGUACAUCAUUAUGCUCUGGAGAUACCAUGGGCAUAGGGGGAGGGGCACGACCACAACAGGCCCAGAAUGCAGCUUAACCACACCAGGGGCUCCCAAGUGUGUCAUCUUUUUUUCCUUUUUAUUUUUUCUUACCCACAGGACUCCGUUCACCAGAGGCCCUGUCCGGCAGUAGACCUGCCGAACUCACGAUGCAACAGCCAGCGAAGGAGAAAGGCUACGACGAGUAUCCAGGUGGUCUCCAUUACGAGCAUUAAAUCUGUUUUAUACACCAUUCCGCAGCCUACCCCUGGAGGGGGACAUGCUUAAUAGUCCCACCCCUUGCUUAUCGCACUAUUUGUAUCGUUCUGCAUUCAUGGCAGUAUUUCUUAAAUAAACAAUGCAUCACUCUUUUGCUUAUAAUUGCAUUCCUUUCUUAUACAUAUGUUCAUUUAUGACAUGUUGCACCCGUACACUUUGGUACAGCUAAAUACACCAGGGGCUUAAGUUCCCCACAUUAUGGUGUGAUAAGUCCGAACACUUUCACAAGUGCGGCACCCCGAACUUAUAGCAUUAUAUGCAUCGGCUCCGAAUCAUGUCUUGGGUCAAGUUGGGUUUGCCCGGCUCCCAUGUUUUGGUACCUUACGUUCCGUUGUAUCGGCUAAGGUAGCACUGGGAGAACCACUGCGAUUGCGCCCCAGUUGAGCUGGGCGAGCGCCUCAGUGAAGAAAGCUAAAACUAACCGUCAUGAUGAGGCAAGAGCCGGUCGCUGUUCGAGAGGUUUUUUCGAGUCCCUAAAGACUUAUGACGCUUAGAGCGAAGAACCGGCUUUGUCCGGCCCAGGCAUGGAUAGCGCCCCGAAUUCGGCCUUCCAAACACUAGGGGCUUCGCCGAAAUUUAAAAUUAUAGAAUUCUAUGGCUAAGUGAGAGUGUUCAAGCAUUAUAAGUCCAGUUGCCUCGUUCGUUGUGUUGAGCGCCUCCCUAGAUGGACCCAAAAAUGGGAACAAGCGUGCUCAAAUUUAUCCCGAACACCCAAGUACUCGUGGCAUGGGGGCUGAAGCCGACGACUUGCCAUCUCUCAGAUUUGAUAAACGACCGCACAGAAGGUAAUAUUUUAAAUUAACAAGCGUUGCUUAGCGCACAUGAACAAAGUUUUCAGCGCACAGGAUAACAAAAUGCGAGUCUACUCAAAUAUUACAUCUUUGGAGCACUCACCCGCAAUCAUGCGGGCACCCUUCAGGACACCCUUAUAAUACAUCUCGGGUGUGCGAUACUCCUUGCCCGGCGGUGGCGCGUCCGUCACAAGCUUCUCAGCAUCCAUCCUGCCCUAGUGCACUUUAGCACGGGCAAGGGCCCGACGGGCACUGACGGUGUCCUGGACUAGGGGGUACUCACCACGUCGUCUCCCGAUCAGUUGGAUUGGGCCAAGGAUCCCCAUGGCCGUAUACUCAUGGGCCAGUCCGGACAGUUGCCGCAUACAAGGAAGAUUCCACAAGACUUGGCGAUCAAGAAAAGGACUCCUCCCCCACCGGCGUAUUCGGCUAGGAUUCUUGUUAUCCUAGGCCUCUGGUGCAUUAUAUAAACCGAGGCCAGGCUAGUCGAUAGAUAUACAACAACCAUUACAAUCAUACCAUAGGCUAGCUUCUAGGGUUUAUCCUCCUUGAUCUCGUGGUAGAUCCACUCUUGUAAACAUCCACAUUAUCAAUAUCAAUCAAGCAGGACGUAGGGUUUUACCUCCAUCAAGAGGGCCCGAACCUGGGUAAAACAUCGUGUCCCUUGUCUCCUGUUACCAUUGACCCUAAGACGCACAGUUCGGGACCCCCUACCUGAGAUCCGCCGGUUUUGACACCGAUAUUGGUGCUUUCAUUGAGAGUUCCGCUGUGUGAUCGACGAAAGGAUCAAUGGCUCGACUGCAGGUUAACUGCGACGUUGGCUUCUUCGUCACCAGCUCGACUGGUCACCUUGGCUUGACCGAGGACUGCGGCCUACCUCCGAUCAUCAUGUUCGGAUGAAGGCCUUCAUCAACACCAACUCCGAUCUCUAUCAAGAUCAUGGAGGAGUCAUCAAUGGAGCUCGGGGGCUCAACGUCAACAUUGCCCUCAGGCGACCGUGCUGUUUUCCUGGACAACAAACUUGUAUCCGCUGCCACCGCCUCCUCGAGUGUCGCUUAAACGAUUACUUCGGUGGAACUAUGCGGAAUUAAGUCUACAACAACCCUGCAAAAAUUUCGUCGAGUUCCGAUGGAGGAAUCUCCGGCAAUCGCCGAUAUACCGGAGCCCUGUUGAAUCUGGACGAGAAUCCGGACGAGUUUAGGGCGUGGUGUCCGGCAUCUAGCUCGGAUGUCCUUUGGAAGAUCCAACCAUUGAUUUGCUGCGGAAUUACCAUAUCUACCACCUUCCAAAAAUUCAGCUCGAUCCGACCGUCCAAACUCCGGGAAACUUCCGAUUAGUGCGUCACUUUUUGGAUCUACUUUCUGCGCGAGAACGAAUCCGACCCGAAUUCAUCUUCUUUAUGAACGGGAUCUCGGACAUCCUUUUUGAAGGAAGUUUUCGUAUGGGGUGUUGUGUUUUAUUCUCAAACACAUCCCAGUAGUAUUAAAAGUAUUCUUGCAAUACGAACUUCACCGUCACGCCGGUGUCAAACCAACCCGACAACAUCACUCCACGGCGGCCGACCUGCGUUAGACACGUCGUUGCUUUGUUGAGCUGAGCUCAAUUUCUUCGGAUCAUCAUCUCGGCAAGCCGAACGAGAGUCCGGCAUCGCGAAGGAUAAAUCAUCACCAACAUCGCCGCCCCGCGGAUUACACAGAGUAGGCAUACCGGCAUCGCCGCACGGUCGCUUCAUCAAGCCGGCAUCGACCACGUCACGACCUGCAUCGGUAGGGCCGCGCUAUUGCUUCUUCAAGCUGGUGUCCAUCACGCCGACCCACUUUGACAUCUCGGCUGGACCGGGGGCUUCGCCAUCUCUUCAUCAACCUACUUCGGACACUUCGGCGUCACUAGCCGACUAGGCAAUGGGUGCGCGGAUCGAGUCCCAAUUUUGGGAGUCACCUUCCUUCGGAUUGCUACAACAAAUAAACCAGGUGCUAUUAAUCCUAGUAUUUCUUUUUGCUUGUUUGGGUUAAUUUUUCCCAAGGAAUUAUUACUCUGGUUAGUCCAUCAUAUGUACACAGGUCUAUCAAAUACUGGCCGCAUUAUCGACGGUCGCAUGAUAGUUCGGUCAGUUUCCGUACAUAGUCCGGCGAACGCCGCAUCCGGAACUCGGACCGACCUGUGAAUCCAGGCUUUGCCACGCCUUUAUUGCAUUACGCCGACGACUUGCAUCGACAUCGACUUCGGCGCCAGGCCAUAUUUCUUUUAUUACUCACUUUGCAUAAAUUAUUUAUUAUGCAACGAUUUUUUUUAUUACUAUCAUCUAUGGUUUGCACUAUAUUUCGUGCAUAGGAAAAUGAUCCAGCCGGACUAUAUCCUUUGACGUCACCUCGGCUGGACGGGGGGGGGGCUUCGUCAACACUUCAUUACCCCAUGCCAGGGACCUCGACAUCACUCUGCCCCCCUGCAUUGCUAUGUCACCACUUCGGAGUGCCGAGCUCUUUGCUCCGCCACCUUGGGACUGGCUUGGGGGAUGGAACCUUGUCCCGCACCAAGCUCGGACCGCGUCGUCAAUACCGAACACAUUAACCAGCUAAGUUGCCUUCAUGCUCAAAGUUUUAAAAUUUUUAAUUUGUGUUCGGUUCAACCAAGCAUUAUACUUUCUCGGGAAAAAGUUGCUUAUCUUCCUUGUCGAAACUUUGUUCGCACACACUUGACGCGCUACCCGUGCUUAUUAUACCUGGGGGCUUCUUUAACAGAAGCUUAUUAAUUCGGGCUUUAUGCCCAACACACGUGUCACACUUCCGCAUGUACCUUUUAUUCACCAUUAUAUGCAUCGAUAUGACUUAAGUUUUGGCCAAGCUGGGUUGCCUGACUCCUGUGCUUACCCCUACGUUCCCGAUUGUUCGGCUAGGUGGUAAAGGGAGCACCUCUGCGAUUAUUACUGCCGGGUCAGCCGGAUGUGUACCUCAGACUGGGUGAAGCCGAAAGCUAGCGUUCUUAAGGGAAUACUCGGUUGGUGAACUAAAAGAUGAUUUCUUACCUAUUUAUUUACCUGCCCCCAGAUGUUUUUCUGCUCUUUUCGCAGUCCGGACAUGCACUUUAGGGCAUGCCUCCCAGGGAAAGGAACCCCUAACGGAACUAUUCUCCCUGGAAGAUGUUUCUUACUAACCAUGUAAUAUAACAUAACUAGUUGGGCACUUGUCUGAUAAAGCACUAAUGACCCCUACGCCUGGUCUCCACGCAUGCCCCGGUUUUUAUAACCGCGAGGGUAUUCGGACACACUCCGGACUAUUGGGUCCAGAGGUUGAAGCGAAAAGGUCCGCUACGACAAACGAUCUACAAUCCGGCUAGAAGGCAUUCUACAUGUCACCUUACAUUAUCAACUUUUACCCAAGUCAAUUGGGGGCUCUUAAAUUUAUAUGAGCCAUUUUAUGAUAAAUGUUUUUCUUCUUAGUCGCUGCAAAGUUUUUAUUAUUAUUUAUCACUCCUUCGACACAAGUGUGCGGUCACUAGCCGGGGAGCCUAAUUUCUCUAUCAAAGAAGCCGUAGGCUGACCUGCUUGAAGUUUUGAGAUAGGAUGUGUCAUGUUAAAGCACGACAGAAGCACCUUUUUUUUCUAAAGUCCAAUUUUCGGAUUGGCACCGAACACUUGAUCUAGUUCGGACAUUAACCUUUUGAAUAAGUUUUUUGGCUUUUCGAGUAUUUGUGUGUUUUUAGCACAAGUCUCGCAGUGCAACGCCGGACACCUUUAGAGAUUCGGCAAAAACAUUCUCGGAUAUUGCUAUAUAUGCAUCGGUUUCGAAUUGUGUCUUCGGUCAAUAGUUGGGUUGCCCGGCUCCUGCGCUUGCCUCCCAUGUUCCACUUUGUUCGGCUAGGUGUGCAAAGGGAGAACCACUGCGAUUGUGCUUCCAGCUCACAUGGUUAAGCACCUCAGUGGAGAAAGCCGAAAACUGACUGUCACAAUAUGCAUAAACUGGUCGGCGAUCUGAUGACGGCGUUAAACGACGGGCUAUUCAUAACAUUGGCCGAAGUGUUUCCGGCUUGACCUCGACUGUCGCUGAACACUACCGGGGGCUAUUAACUGGCCUCCCAAACUAAAUCCUCGAUAUUUUGCUCUUACAUUGGAGCUGAGGUUUCAUGAUCAUGCUUAGCAUGACAACCCAAAGAAAGGAACCGAUAGGGGGACUAUUUUCUUUGGAAGACAUUUCUUCUAUUAAACAGUAAUAUAACAUGUCUCUCCGCGUACCUUUGUUUAUAAAACCGUAUGGCCAGAUUGCCUUGUUUGUUGUAAAUCUUUGCCCUCAUAAAGGCUUUAUAAAGUAGGACAAACACUACUCGGCUAUUGGCCGAGGAGGUGGAAGCCGAUGGUCGGUCAACAAAGUUUUGUACAAUGCGGAUCCGAGCAUUAAUGACGUAAAGUACUUGGAUACAUAGAGUCAUUACACAUAAUUUGUGAUUUUACUAUGGAUAUCGAUCCUUAAUUCGGCCUCCCGUGCCCGCAUUAAGGCUCGGGGGCUACUGGGCUUCGGGCUUAUUAUUUACAAAUAUUAAAGGGGCACAUCAAUCCCCUGAUCUGGUGUUGCCACCCGACCAGUGUCUCGGGGGCUACUGCAUUGCCUGUUCUAUGCAGAAAAUUUUAAGUGCAAUACAGUUUCCGAGGAGAUUUUGAUCCUCAGGUUGGUCGGCCGCACCCAACCCGAGUCUCGAGGACUGAGCACGCUGCUUUUUGCGUCCCGAAGUAUUCUGCCGAGCUAGGACUUGAUCCUCAGACCGAUUUUGCAAAUCAACCUGAGUCUCAGCGACUACGGGGAUCAGCGGUCUUAUGUCAUCCUUCAUGUGCAUCUCGGGUUUUAGAACGAUACCCACCUUGAGGGCUACUGGCUAUAUAUCUCGUCAGAGAAUAAAUUGCAUCAAUAAAAAACAUUGACCAAAAAUCAGCCCAUGACCGAGGUGCUUAACCACCUCGGAAGCAGUCCGGCAUAAAGCUCGGGCGCUAGUGGCUGGCUCCAUAGAGGGCAUUUCCGGCAUUAAGCUCGGCUAAACUCCUUCAAACUUCUUUGAACCAAGGUGAUCUACGACACCUCGGAUACAGUCCGGCGUUGGAGCUCGGAUACAUAGUCCGGUGUUAGAGCUGGGAAGCAGUCCGGCAUUGGUGCUCGGCUGCAAAAGAUACCUCGAAUGCAGUCCGGCGUUGGAGCUCGGACGCAAGAGGAUGUUGCCGCCCGGGAACAACUUCAAACCCGAGGUGUGGCAUAAAAAUAACAAGGCAUUGAUAAAGGCCGGAAACUUAAAGGGCUCCUCGGAUACCCGACGUAUAAACUCGUCGAAUGCAUUUCGGCGAUCCUCAAGAUCGAAGAUGAGAAGAUUUGUUGAACCAGUUUUCAAGACCGAUGACCGAAGAUGAAGAACAGUUCGGAAGAAUCGAGGAGCGUCCCCAACUUGAAGACCGGUUCAGGGGGCUACUGACGGUGUCCUGGACUAGGGGGUACUCACCAUGUCGUCUCCCGAUCAGUUGGAUUGGGCCAAGGAUCCCCAUGGCCGUAUACAAAUGGGCCAGUCCGGACAGUUGCCGCAUACAAGGAAGAUUCCACAAGACUUGGCGAUCAAGAAAAGGACUCCUCCCCCACCGGCGUAUUCGGCUAGGACUCUUGUUAUCCUAGGCCUCUGGUGCAUUAUAUAAACCAAGGCCAGGCUAGUCGAUAGAUAUACAACAACCAUUACAAUCAUACCAUAGGCUAGCUUCUAGGGUUUAGCCUCCUUGAUCUCGUGGUAGAUCCACUCUUGUGAACAUCCACAUUAUCAAUAUCAAUCAAGCAGGAUGUAGGGUUUUACCUCCAUCAAGAGGGCCCGAACCUGGGUAAAACAUCGUGUCCCUUGUCUCCUGUUACCAUUGACCCUAAGAUGCACAGUUCGGGACCCCCUACCGGAGAUCCGCCGGUUUUGACACCGACAGGCACCUUCAAUGCAGGCGGAGUGCUUGACGACUUCAACCCAGGGACACGCAUCCACCAGCCGCCGCACCAGGCCGAAGUAGCUCCCAGGCAUGGCCUCUUUGGGCCAUAGCCGAACUAUAAGGCCCUUCAUGGCCUGUUCGGCCACCUUGUGGAGCUCGACCAGCUGCUUCAGCUGGUCGCUAAGGGGCACCGGAUGUCCGGCCUCAGCAUACUGAGACUAGAAUACCUUCUCCGUUGAGCUCCCCUCCUCGGCUCUGUAGAAAGCGGCAGCAUCGGACACGCUGCGGGGCAGAUCUGCGAACGCUCCUGGAGAGCUCCGAAUUCGGGUAAGUACCAGGUAAUUCACUUUAACAUGCUUGCUUUGCAUGAAGAAUGCCUUACCCGCCGCUAUUUUCUUCAAAUCCUUGAUUUCCUGGAGGGCCUUGUGGGCAUCGGCCUUAGCGACUUUGGCACUCUCAAGAGCCGACGCAAGCUCGGACUCUCGAGUCUUCGAGUCACGCACCAAACCCUCGUGCUUUUCCACGAGAGCCUGGAGCUCUUGCUGUACCUCCGCCACCCGCGCCUCCUGCUUCUCUCGCUCGGCUCGUUCCACGGCCGCAUUACGUUCGGCCGCGGACACCGCCUCCUUCAGGGUUGCCACCUCGUUCGUGGCCCCUGGAGUAUCCAUGUUAUCCUUGUUAUUUCUCUUGCAACCAAAUCCUUUUCUGUAAGGUACAACUUUAAUACGGUGUUACUCACCUUCCUUGUCCUCGAGCUGCUUCUUGGCACGGCCGAGCUCGCUCUCGGACCGCUCGAGGCUCUGCUUCAAGGUAUUGACCUCCGCAGUCAGUGUGGCAGAGGUCAGCAGCGCAGCCUGCAUUCCCAUAUGGACAUAUUUUUAAGACUCCUGCGUAUAUCUUUUUAGAUCCUCGGUCCGGCUUUUGUUUCCGAACACCGAACCGAGCAUCAGGGGCUACUGUAUAUGCGGUAUUAUAUUACAUAUCUUAAAAUUCUUACCUCAAAGCCUAUUAGAAGGCUGUUGCAGGCCUCGGUCAGCCCGUUCUUGGCGAGCUGAACCUUCUGAAUCACCGCACUCAUGACAGUGCAGUGUUCUUCUUCGAUGGAGGCGCCGUUGAGUGCCUCCAGCAAGUUAUCCGACGCCUCUGGUUGGACGGAGGCCGCCGGUGUCACAGUCUUGCCCUUCUUACGAAGGGGCCACCCACCGAACUCCAGAACCACUGCAGGUUCCAGUGCGGAGUCCGGUGCAAAGUCCGGGAGGUUGCCCUGCGGCACCUCCGGGGCCUCCUCCUGGUGGGUCCCUUCCCGGGAUCCCACCUCGGCAUCGUCAGCAUCACGGGGGUGGAGGCGGUCGGAAGAGAAUCCAUAUCUGACGUGCCCAAGGACCCGCUCGACGAAGCAGGAAGAUCGUCCAUGGGCGGACUACAGGGUUGUAUGCGGCAUUAGAAAGACACCAUGCGACAAAAAGAAAAAUUAUAAAUCAUCUAGGAGUCCGGAUACUUACGAUCUCGCCAGGGGCUUGGCCCUUGAGGGCCACUCCUUGUCGCCGUCGUCGUCGCCGACGUUGGUGAAACAGUCUGGGGGAAGGGUCCUUCCCUUCUUGGACCCUUCGGCCUCCCUCGUUGGGGAGGCCUUCCUCUUCUUCUCUCCCCCCGCUGGGGGAGAAGCCUCUUUCUUCUCCUCCUCGUCCUCGUGGGAGGAGUCCGCCUCGGAGUCAUCGGACGAUGAGUCCGAUACCACUCGACGUCGGGAACUCCUUCGGGUUCCCAUGGCCUUCUUCUUGGCCUUCUUCUCCGGCACUACGUAAAGUGCCGGGACCAGCAGCCCUGUCAAACGGGCAUCCGCUGGGUCUUCUGGAAGGGGAGCCGGACAGUUAACCUGUCCGGACGUCACCUGCCAAGCCUAUUAAAGGUAUUGGGAGUUUAGAUCCCGCAUAAAGUCAAAACAUGAAAAGCAAGUGUCCCAUAAAGGAUAACCUGGCUUACCUCGUCAGCCGGACGUUGUGAGCUGAAUCUGCGAUCUUCGGUAGCGGAUGCGGGGGUCUCGCUGCCCUUAAACAGCACCCUCCAGGCAUCUUCGUACAUAGUGUCGAAGAGCCCGCUCAAGGUCCGGUGCUGUGCCGGAUUGAACUCCCAUAAAUUGAAGUCCCGUUGCUGGCAUGGGAGAAUCCGGCGGAUGAGCAUGACCUGGAUUACGUUGACAAGCUUAAGCUUCUUGUUCACCAGGGUUUGGAGACAGGAUUGAAGUCCGGUCAGCUCUUCCGAACUACCCCAUAGCAGGCCCUUCUCUUUCCAGGAGGUGAGCCGCAUGGGGAUGCCAGAUCUGAAUUCGGGGGCCGCUGCCCAUUCAUGGUCACGCGGCUCGGUGAUGUAGAACCACCCCGAUUGCCACCCUUUGAUGGUUUCCACGAAGGCGCCCUCGAGCCAAAUGACGUUGGGCAUCUUGCCCACCAUGGCGCCUCCGCACUCCGCUUGGCUGCCCUUUACAAUCUUCGGCUUGACGUUGAAGGUCUUGAGCCACAAGCCGAAGUGGGGCUGGAUGCAGAGGAAGGCCUCGCACACGACGAUAAACGCCGAGAUAUUGAGGAUGAAAUUUGGGGCCAGAUCAUGGAAAUCCAGGCCGUAGUAGAACAUGAGCCCCCGGACAAAGGGGUGGAGUGGGAAGCCCAGUCCGCGGAGGAAAUGGGGAAGGAAUACCACCCUCUCAUGGGGCCCGGGGGUGGGGAUGAGCUGCCCCUCGUCGGGGAGCCGGUGCGCAAUGUCGCUGGACAGAUAUCCAGCGCUGCGCAGCUUCUUGAUGUGCCCCUCUGUAAUGGAGGAGGCCAUCCAUUUGCCUCCCGCUCCGGACAUGGCUGGAGAAGGUCGAGGUGAGAUGUGCGGACUUGGGCGCUGGAGCUCGAGUGCGCGGAGAUGGAUAAGCAAAGGAGGAAGAAGGCGUAGGUAAAAAGGUGGAUCCUUAUCCCCUUAUAUAUGGGCGGACGAAACUAUGCGUCCCCACCGGCCUGGUAAAACUCGCUUAUCUCCCAAGCGCCGCAAUCAAUGGCGCGGUUGGGUUACCCACGUCCGUAUUGAUGGGAAUCCCGGAAUAAGGGGAACACGAUCUCUGCUUCGACAAGACGUGCCAAGGAAACCGCUUCGCUAAAAGCGCUGAGGUGGUAUAAUAAAAACGAUUCGAGUAAAGACUUGGUUGUGGUGUGACGUCACGCCACAAAAUACAUCAGCAGAUUGAACUUGUGUAAAUAUUAUUCUCUCUAUGGUGGUAUGUGGAAUUUAUUUUGCAGAGCCGGACACUAUCCUGGUGUUCACAAUCUUCUAUGAAUUAUUCGGAGGAGGAACCCGCCUUGCAAUGCCGAAGACAAUAUGCGUGCCAGACUCGUCGUCAUUGAAGCCUGGUUCAGGGGCUAUUGAGGGAGUCCUGGACUAGGGGGUGUCCGGAUAGCCGAACUAUCAUCAUCGGCCGGACUCCAAGACUAUGAAGAUACAAGAUUGAAGACUUCGUCCCGUGUCCGGAUGGGACUUUCCUUGGCGUGGAAGGCAAGCUUGGCGAUACGGAUAUGUAGAUCUCCUACCAUUGUAACCGACUCUAUGUAACCCUAGCCCUCUCCGAUGUCUAUAUAAACUGAAAGGUUUUAGUCCAUAGGACAAAACAACAAUCAUACCAUAGGCUAGCUUCUAGGGUUUAGCCUCCUUGAUCUCGUGGUAGAUCCACUCUUGUACUACCCAUAUCAUCAAUAUCAAUCAAGCAGGAGUAGGGUUUUACCUCCAUCGAGAGGGCCCGAACCUGGGUAAAAACAUCGUGUCCCUUGUCUCCUGUUACCAUCCGCCUAGACGCACAGUUCGGGACCCCCUACCCGAGAUCCGCCGGUUUUGACACCGACAACCACCCUGAUGGAUGCCAGCUUGUUCUCUCGAGCAUCCUUGCAGUGAACACGUACCAGGGACAGAGAAACAUCAGCACCACACCUGGCGGAAGACUUCUUCCGUUCCUGCACUUGACCUGGAACGUCAUUCAGUCGACUCAUUAAAGACUCGAGGUCAUUUUGGAGCGUCUCUCUUGGCCAGAGUGUCGUGUCGAUCCGCGACACCGCAACCUUCAGUCGAGCGAGGUAGUCCACCACACCAGCAACGCGAGACUCCAGUCGGAACACGUUCAUAGCAGCUUCGUCCUUCACAAGAGAGUUAAUGGGGUCCAAGUUUGUCUCCAGUCGACUGGUCUCCUCCUCGAAGUUUUGACAGAAUUCUAUAAACACAAUUUGAAGUUAAGCCAACAGUUCUACGAUGAGUCAAUGAUAACGAGUCAGUCGGAUAAAAGAGAUCACCUUCAAGCAUGAGGAAUAACUUCUUGGCGAGCCCUUCCAGAUAAGCCUCCAGAUCGUUCUUCUUCCCCAUCAGUUCACUGGCUUUGUCACUCAGAGCUAUUUUGUCAUUCUUCAGACGGCUGACCUCCUUAUUGGCCGCGUCGAGAGCAGCUUUCAGAUUGGUAUUCUCCUCUUCAAGUUUGCCGACUGAAGCCAGCUUUUCUUUUGCGAGCUUCGUCUUAUCCGAAGCCGCUUUCUGCGCCUCAGCAAGAUCAAGGUCCUUCUUCUUCAGAGCCUCCUUCAGCUUAUCUGCAAAGUGACAAUGAGAUCAGAAUCAGGAAUGGACAAAAAAGUAAAGGCAGUCGUCAAGAUUCUCACCAAACAUACCUUUUGCUUCCUCCUUCGCCUUCGUGAAGUUCUCCUGAACGAGCUUCAAGUCAAGUUCGAGCUGGAUAUGUUUGUUCUCCAACUCAGUAUAGCGAGCCACAAGCUCACAAGAUUUCUGUGAAAGGUCAGUCGACAGACAUCAAAGAUAGGUCAUUUCCGAGUGACUAAAAGAAAAUCUGUAGCAUUUCUAAGACUACAGCCGAAUCAAAAUAUUCAACAGUAGUCUCGGGGACUACACCCAGUGGAUGCACUAAGCGUGCCCCCACUGGUUCUACUGACUCGGUUCGAUCAGUCGACCGAAAGAGACAAGAAGGUUAUGAUCCUAAACCAUAGCUCACUGCCAGCAGUCAGCCACAAUAUCAUCACAAAAAAAAGAAGGGAGAUGUUCUUUAGACCUUAGUCGACUGCCAGCAGUCGACCAUGGUCUCGGGGACUACACCUAGUGGGUGCACUCAGCGUGCCCCCACUGGUUCCAAGAUUCCAUUCGACCAGACCGAGUGGAGAAGUUAGAGUAAACAAAUUCAAAGUAUAAAGACUACAGUCGACUGCCAGCAGUCCACCCUAGUCUCUGGGACUACACCCAGUGGGUGCACUCAGCGUGCCCCCACCAAUUCAAUCGACACACCCAGUGGGUGUACAGAUGCAAAGGUCUUCAGAAAGAAGAGUUUUCAGGUACCAUAUCCUAACAGAACAAGCGGUGACCAACUAAUCUGGACGUUGCUCUGAAGAGAUGAACUUGCAUCAUAAGCUGCUUGGCUGGCAUUCCGGAUGGCCUUCACCUGCUCCAUCAUGACCCCCGCCUGGCGUAUAGCCUCCUUGGCAGCACCCGCUUGGUCCUCUGGGACGUGGUGUGUGGCGAAAAGGGAAGGUGGAUCACCACUCGACGACGAAGGGCGAGCACUCGUCAGCAGCACAGCAAAGGACACGGUAGUCCGAGUGACGUUGCCUCCCUCCGGAACCAGCGUCUCAGGUGCUGAUACAACCUGAGCAGUCUUGCCAGCAGGCACCUUUUUGUUCCUCCUCUGCCUCAGUGGCUCCUCAUCAUCAUCAUCAGGGAGAUCAAUGACAUGAGGUGGGGCUACAGGAAAGAUUCAAAGUUAAAAAUGAAGAUCCAAUCAACCUAAAGCGAAACUACAGAGACCAUACCAAGGUUGGAGGUGGCAACAUCUUCCAUUUCUUGGUCCUCGUUCGUGGCUGAGGUCUCGGAGGUAGCAGCACUGCAGAUUCCAGAAAUCAGUCGGUUAGCCAACGAUUCGACCAAGAGUUUAUUCGUGCCAAACAAGAAAACACAAGUUCUGCUAUUACCCGGAAAUGGUGGGAAUCACCAUCCUCAUCUUGGGCAGGGCCUUCAUCGGCUUUGAUGACGUUGCUCGGGGUUGCUUCGGCGCCUUUUCAGUCGGCGCCGAAGAGGUCGUCUGUAACGCCCCAGAUACAACUUUCCAUAUUCGUAACUUCAACUCUUGCCUUUUUCGGAGAUGUGAUAUGUUAUUUCCUUCGUGGUUGGGUUAUUGUCGUUUGUUUUGCCUUUUGUUAAUGCCAUGCAUCUCAUCUCAUAGCAUCAUGUGCAUCGCAUCCAUAUGUUUUUAUAAAAUCCGUAUCCGCUCGUAGUUGCCGCGUCACCCCUUGCUUUCGUUGACCAUUCCGAGACCACCCGUGUUUGCGUUUCCCUCUUGUCAAACCACCUAACCUCUCUGCACAACCACCAACCCCUUUGCGCGCGUCCGAAACUGCCCCAAACCCGAACCCGGUCGGUCGUGACCGAUGAGUCCGGAUCAUCCCCAAACAUCUAUAAAAUAUCUCCCGUCCUUUGUUUGCACUUCCUAACCUAUUUUCCCGGAGCCGUUCGAUCGCGAUCGGAUGACCCAAAAACUCCCUUUUUCCUAUAUAUAUAUAAACUCUAGUCUAUUUUAAGACCAAACCCUAAAUCCGAGGAGCCGUCCCAUCCAUCCCAUUCCUUCCACCGCCACCUGACCAACUCACUUCUCUCUCUGGUUCCCCUCGGGGUCCUCCCAAAUCCAUCCCCUCCUUGAUUUCAUAUGCCAGCCAAUCCCUCGAGCCGGCCGCAAGCAGCGCCGCCAGCAGGACCUCGCGCCCCUGCCUUCUCCCUUUUUCUUAUUUCCUCCGUCUCCCUCGUUGCUCUCUGUCUCACCCGAUUCUCUCUCUCUGUUCUCUGUAACAGCGCCGUCGCCGGAGAAGUUCCUCGUCCGCGUCUAGGAGAACGACGCCCGAGGCCGAACGGAUCCGCGCCCAGCCUUCGUUCCCCGCAGUUCCUCAUGCUGCCUUCCGAACCUCGACGAACCCCGUCGGCUGGCGAACCAGCAACGAGCGCGUCGCCCCUCCCGGUCGACCUCGCGCCCUGCCAUCUCCUUCUUCCUCUCGUGCUCUCUCCCCCUUCAUCUAGUUUCUCUCUCUUACCUUCUCCCUCUACAGGACCUCCAAGGUGCCAUGGACGACCUCCCCGCCACCCGUCGUCUUUGUUCGCGGCAAGCACCGCUGCUGCCUCGCUCGCCCGCGCGAAGGUCUCGCCUCUGCCCAAAUCCUACCUGGCGCCGCCGCCUUCACUUGCCUCGCCGUCGCCAAGUCCCUCCUGCCGUCGCCCGGAUCCAGUGCCCCUUCGCCCAUCCUCGCCGGAUUAAGCUGCGUCGCUGCUCUGCUUCUGCUCCCUGUCGAGUAGAGGACCGCGCCCUGCUUCCCUGCAUCAAGCGUUGACCGCAGCAUCGAUCCAAGCCGGCCUCGUCCCGAUCUCCUAGCCCAUCAGCAGCAAGGCCCCACCAGGCUUUCCCAGUCGGCCUGCUGCCUCCAAGGCCCAGCGCUGGCCUGCCCGGCCUCCCUCUGCUUCCAAUCGGGCCUCAGCCCAUGGGUGAGCAGCCCCCAACAGCUCUUCUCUUGUGCAUGCUUGGCCCAGCAAGUUUCGGCCUGAUGUGUGUGUUUUUACUGCUGCGAAUUUAACAUUAUCGAGUGUAUUACAGUUUUGCAGAAAACUCCUCCAUGUUCAUGCAUAUAAUAACUCAUUAACCAUGCAUCGGAUUAAAACAAAUUAUAUAUGUAUAAUGCUUAGAAUUUUGUGUAGAUUAAUAAUUUGCCACUUUCAUCCAUGUUUAAAAUGUUUAAAAUGUUGUUUGUUUAAAUUUGCUCAAAUGUAAUGUUAAAAUGAUUUAUUUCAUAACUAAAUAACCGUAGCUCGGUUUUAAAUAAACUUUAUAUGUAAAUGGGGUGGAAAAAUGCCUAGUUUAACAUGGUGCACUUUAUUUUCCUGUUUAACAACAAUAAAGUAUGUUUUACGGCAGAACAGUACCAAAACUAAAAUAUGGACACGAGGAUUUUCCGGAAUUGUUGUUUGUUGUUUCCGGCCUCACUUAAACUUGCCUAGAUAGUUAGUUUAUUUAUGCUUCACCUCUUGCCAUGUUUAUAACAACAUGUAAUAUUGUUGUGUUCAUAAACGAGAGAGAACUAAAUAAUUGAUGUGGUGUUUCGUCAAUAUGUAACUCGUUGCAUAUUGAGCUCCACUUAACUUGUAGUGUUGUUUGUGCACUUUGCCAUGCCAUGCCUCUUUAAACCGGACAUGCAUCAUACUUGAUUGUGCAUCAUGCCAUGUUUAUGUGUGGUGUGUUUACCAUGUUGUGUGCUUCUUCUCGAUAGUUCCCGUUUCGUUGCGGUCGUGAGGAUUCGUUCGUCUACGCUUGGUUCGGCUUCACCCGUUCGUCUUCUUCAUGGACUCGUUCUUCUUCCUAGCGGGAUUUCAGGCAAGAUGACCGCUACCCUGGAUCUCACUACUAUCAUUGCUAUGCUAGUUGCUUCGUUCUAUCGCUUUGCUGCGCUUCCUAUUUUUUGCUCUUCAAGCCUCCCAAAUUGCCAUGUCAGCCCCUAACCUUUUCACCCUUCCUAGCAAACCGUUGCUUGGUUAUGUUACCGCUUUUGCUCAUCCCCUCUUAUAGCGUUGUUAGUUGCAGGUGAAGUUGAAGAUUGCUCCAUGAUGGACAAGAUUGUGUUGGGAUAUCACAACAGCUCUUAUUUAAUUAAUGCAUCUAUAUACUUGGUAAAGGGUGGAAGGCUUGGCCUUAUGCCUGGUGUUUUGUUCCACUCUUGCUGCCCUAGUUUCCGUCAUACCGGUGUUAUGUUCCCGGAUUUUGCGUUCCUCACGCGGUCGGGUGAUUUAUGGGACCCCCUUGACAGUUCGCUUUGAAUAAAACUCCUCCAGCAAGGCCCAACCUUGGUUUUACCAUUUGCCUCACCACCACCUACUUUUCCCUUGGGAGUCGCUCUCUCAAGGGUCAUCUUUAUUUUAGCCCCCCCGGGCCAAUGCUUGUCUAAGUGUUGGUCCAAACUAGAGCACCGUGCGGGACCAUCCCUUGGCAACUUGGGUUACGUCGUACCUGUACGCUUCGCUUAUUCGCUGUUGCCCUGAGAUCGAGAUAUGUGCAGCUCCUAUCGGGAUUGUCGGCGCAUCGGGCGGUCUUGCUGGUCUUGUUUUACCAUUGUCGAAAUGUCUUGUAAACCGGGAUUCCGAGACUGAUCGGGUCUUCCUGGGAGAAGGAAUAUCCUUCAUUGAUCGCGAGAACUUAUCAUGGGCUAAGUUGGGACACCUCUGCAGGGUAUAAACUUUCGAAAGCCGUGCCCGCGGUUAUGUGGCAGAUGGGAAUUUGUUAAUGUCCGGUUGUAGAUAACUUGACACCAGAUCCGAAUUAAAACGCAUCAACCGUGUGUGUAGCCGUGAUGGUCUCUUCUCGGCGGAGUCCGGGAAGUGAACACGGUCUUUGGGUUAUGUUUGACGUAAGUAGGAGUUCAGGAUCACCUCUUGAUCAUUGCUAGCUUCACGACCGUUCCUUUGCUUCUCUUCUCGCUCUUAUUUGCGUAUGUUAGCCACCAUAUCUUGCUUAGUCGCUGCUGCAACCUCACCACUUUACCCCUUCCUUACCCCAUUAAGCUUUGCUAGUCUUGAUACCCAUGGUAAUGGGAUUGCUGAGUCCUCGUGGCUCACAGAUUACUACAACAACAGUUGUAGAUACAGGUUAUGCGAUGAUCUUGACGCGAGAGCGAUGUUUGCUUGUUUUGGAGUUCUGCUUCUGCUUCUUCUUCGAUCAGGGGAUAGGUUCCAGGUCGGCAGCCUGGGCUAGCAGGGUGGAUGUCGUUUGAGCUUCUGUUUGUGUUUCAUCCGUAGUCGGAUGUUGAUCUCAUGUAUGAUGUAUUGUUGUAUUCGUGUGGCAUUGUAUGCCUCUUGUAUGUAUCCCCAUCUAUUAUGUAAUGUUGAUGUAAUGAUAUCCACCUUGCAAAAGUGUUUCAAUAUGCGGUUCUAUCCUUGGUGGGACCUUCGAGUCUCUUUAGGAUAGUAUCGCAUAUUGGGCAUGACAUCGUCCGAGGGCAUUUCGUCGACUGCCCAACAGGCACAGUUGCUUUGCCACGCUCGACUGCAGGAUCAUGGGCGAGCUUGGAUCGCCUUUCAGUGCGAGGAGGGUCGACUUCCUCCUCCUCUUCCUCCUCCUCCUCCUCUUCGCCGGAGCCGUCGUCAUCUUCAUCCCCCUCACCAUCAGAUUCCCAGUCCUCCUGACUUUCACCUCCGCUCCCCUCCUCCUCCUCGAUCUGUUAUUGUGCCCCGUUGGGCAUCGAGUACAUCUCGGUAGUGACCUGGAAGACAACAAACAAGACAAAAGUCAGUCGACCGAUGUUAAGCAAAUAGGAUGGAGAAAGUAGGAUCACGGUCAAAGAUACAAGAUUGGACCUUGUCUGCUUCAUAUGACUGAUCGAGUGGAGGAAUCCUCCUAGCUCCUCGAGGGUUAUCCUUGUUCCCUGUGAUGGCAGUCAUCCACCUCUCCAGCGUGGCAUCCUCGACCUCCUCCGGGUGGAUCCGAGUGGUGUCUUCAGUGCCAGAAUACAUCCACAUCGGAUGGUCUCGAUAUUGAAGCGGCUGGAUGCAUCGUCGGAGGAAGACUUCCAAGAGAUCCAUGCCGGUCACCCCGUCACGGAUAAGCUGGACUACGCGCUUGACCAACACCUUAACCUGAACCUUCUCCUCCGGGACCACCUUCAAAGAGGACGGCUUGCUCACUCGGUCCAUGGAAAAAGGAGGGAGUCCAGUCGACUGCCCUGGCGUCGGCUGGUCUUGGCAGUAGAACCAGGUCGACUGCCACCCUCGGACCGACUCGGGAAGGACCAUGGCUGGAAAGGCACUUUUUCCCCUCAUUUGAACCCCAAGACCCCCACACAUCUGAAUCACUUGGGUUUUCUCAUCACUCGGAUUGGCCUUUUUUACCAUCUGGGAGCGACAGGUGAAAAUGUGUUUGAAAAGGCCCCAAUGUGGCCGGCAACCCAAGAAAUUCCCACACAGGGACACGAAAGCAGCGAGAUACGCGAUGGAGUUGGGUGUGAAGUGGUGGAGUUGUGCCCCAAAGAAGUUCAGAAAUCCUCAAAAGAAAAGUUGAGGAGGCAAAGAAAACCCACGGUCAACAUGGGUGGCCAAGAGGACACACUCACCCUCCUGAGGCUGCAGCUGCCACUCCUUCCCCGGGAGCCUCGCUGAUCCAUGGGGGAUCAACCCUUCAUUGGCCAGGUCAUCAAGAUCCUUCUGACGGAUCGUCGAGCGGAUCCACUCGCCCUGGAUCCAGCCCUGCGGCAGGCCGGCCCUUGACGAGGAUCCGCCCCGACUGGUCGCCCUUCCCUUUGCCUUCACCGUCGCCUUCUUCGCCCGCUCCAAAGCCGCCGUCUUCUCCUUCAACAUCGUCACCGGCAAAGCGCGCACGGAGCAGCAGCGCUGGGGUGGAGGUGAAUGCAGCGGACGAGUCUGAGGAAGAGGGAGAAGGAAAUAAGGGCGCACUGUUCAAAAAAAAACCGUCCGGCGCCUUAUAUGGGGUUGCUUCCGAGUGACUGACUGGUAGGCCCGGACGAUCCUAUCAAAUCCCGCAACAGUCGCGCACGCGAUACAUGGCGAAAAAGGUGGCGCGAAGAUCGAGGCGUUCCUGCCUUAUCCCAUCCGAGUAUCGCGGCCUCCUCCGCCUUGCGCGCUUCCCGAAAUUCAGAUCCCGCUAAAUCCGCAAACUGCAAAGCAACUUGUCAGACUGGAGAUUUCCUCCGAUCUGUCGCUCGGAGAUCUCCAAGUACAGAAACUUCACUCGACGGAUACAAAGAAUGGAUCAAGGCGACUGAAAAAGAAGUUGGUGCCGUCACCUAAAUUCAUUGAUCCAGAACAAGACAUACUCAUAACACGAAAAAUGGGUCGGAAGAGUUCUCAACUCCUUCCCCACUCAAACCUCGAUCCAUUUGGGGGCUAAUGAUGAAGCCAUGUACCUAGGGUAGGGUCAUGGACCUGUCCAAGAUACCCUCCCCAAGGACAUCUCUAGAAUAAGCUACCUUUCAGUCGACCUGGAAGGAUUCCACUUGACGAACUCGAAGACACUCGACCAUGAAGCCACUCACUCGACCACCAAGAGAUCUAGAGUCACUCUGCACACAAACGGUCAGUCAUUAAGUAGUCUUUAUGAUCAUCAUAGCACUUUAUGUAUGGCGUUACCAGUAACUCCAGGUCUUAAUGUACCUUAAACCCUACAUAACUGAGGGCCGGGGGGGUCUGGCGGACUCUAUAUAAGCCACCCCCUCCUCAGUGUAAAGGGUUCGCACCCCUGUAACUCAUACGCACAUAAUCCAGUCGACCGCCUCCGGGCUCCGAGAUGUAAGGCUAUUACUUCCUCCGAGAAGGGCCUGAACUCGUAAACAUCUUGCGUAUACAACUACUCCAUAGCUAGGAUCUUGCCUCUCCAUUCCUACCCCCCUAUUCUACUGUCAGACUUAGAACCACGACACCGGCCGCGGUGCCCUGCGGCAGCCUUGGCCGUAUCAGCAUUGGCCGAGGUGUUGCAUACCGACCAUUCCUCGCCAAUCUUGGUGAGCUUCCUGUCGAGGCGGUGGCGGCGCCACGCGACCAUCUCUGUGGUCCUGAUUGACCGAUCGAGAGCCCAUGCCGCGCCGGGCUGGGGUCGUUAAGGACCCAAGCCAGCUCCUUGUCUGACUUGGCGAACGCACAAUAGCAGGCAGUGUUGCGCCGCUCCUGCCAUGCCGCCUACCUCGCUACCCUAUCCUCUACGGACACGAUGGCCCAUGACGAAGAGGAGCCGCCACCACCGAGAUAGUGGAGGAUGCGCCUGCAUGCCUUCGCGUCGCGGGUGGCAACUCCUUCUUGAUGACCUGGUCGCACCAGUUGCAGCGCAAUGGUGAUGUCGUCUCCUCCUUCGAACGACACCCAAUUGGGCGCUGCAGUUGUGUGGAAGGUGUCGGCUCCUCCUUCACGCAACGCGCGAUUCGGGCGCCGCUGUUUGGGGGAGGGGCGUUGGCUCCUCCUUCACAUGGCGGAGAGGCGACACCUACUCCUGUUUGACACGGUAGCAUGGAGGGGAGUGUGGUUUCUCCUUGACGGCAUGCGGCGAUGAGGGUAGGGCCGGACCACAUUCCUGGAGCGACCGCUCGUCAGCAGCUCGAUUUGAUGGACGAACUCCCCAUCUGUCAUAGUGGCCUCCGAGAGAAGGCACGACUGCUGAAGGAGCGGCUGCUGCGGCAGCGACACCUGGUCCUCCACGUCAACGGAGGAGAAGGCGAUGGUUGAUCCCAAGGGUUGCGGAAAGCGAUGGCGAAGGCGCCAAGAUCCUAAGUUGCAUGUGAGGCAGAGAACCACGACUUGGGCAUGUUGUGGAUAGGGAGAUGAGGAGGAGUUCGGAGAAGCGGCUGAGCGUAGAGAAGUGGGUGUGGAUGUCGCCGGAGCACAUAGUAUUAUAUAGGCGGGACGAGGCCACGAACGGACUGUCAUACUACUUUAAUGUGACGCAUCGGCCGAAGUUUUGUUUCUUAAGAUGACGUGCCCGCAUUGAAGAGGCGACACCCGUCUGGUCGCAUCAGUCAACGCUGCCCUCCUAUCUGGUCACAUCGUGCGACAUCAAUGUCGGUCGCUGCGGCGCUAGGCCAGCACAAAUGCAGCGCGGGAAGCGACCCAUCCAUUGGAGAGAAAGCGCGGGGAAGUGUUUUGGAUGGGUCCGGCGUGUCGGAGCAGACGCCGCCCCCCCACGCCCCCUAGUUUGCUUCCAGUUUGCAGGAAAAUGGAUGCCCAGACCGGUCUAUAGACGGAUGCGGGAUCAUGUUGGAUGGGUAAACACGUUCAAACCGAACAGAUGCGGGGGGUUUGAGGGUCAGUGUUGGAGAUUCCCUUAGAGCAUUACAACCAAGAUUGUAAAAUUUGGCACCCUAUACGUCUGAGGACGUGUCCACGGACAGUGACCGUUCACCCUUAUUUCAACGCGUCCGCAACUGAGCUUCUCAAAUAUCCAACCCUCGAAUCCAUACAAUCCAUGCAACUACCUAGAUCGGCAUAGAAACAUAGCGUAAUCCGGACCCAAAAGAGCAUGUUUUUACGAUCACAUCCUAAAGAGCAAGUUCAUUACUGGACAUCACUAGAUACAUAGAUAAACUAGAUACGUAAAUAAAUGAUAGCUAGAUAAACGGAGAGGGGCAUCCGACAUCACCAUUUUCUCAUCGGUCCCUUCCCCUUGCAGUCACGAGACAGACGACAGGACUCCUUCACGUAGAUGCCUACACAGAUGUAACAUCCCCAAACUCUAAUAUUUAUUAACCCAUUUAACACCCAAGUAAUGAUUCCGUGCUUAUAUAAACACCUUGGUGUACAACUUUGUCGGUAAAACCCUGUACUAUUGUUGUUGACAUUCCGGUAGCCACUGAUGGACGAGAACUUUGUCGUUUGAUCGACCUCGUCAUAAGGAGCAACUCUUCGUCCCUGCCCGUGGUACCGACGUUGUUGCUAAGAUAGCUGACAAACUAUUUCCUGACAAACCUUGUAUCCUGGUCGUACAAGAUACCACCACCCUUCUUAUUCAUCAUGGUGGUAUGAAUGUUGAUCACUUCAAUUUUGAUAAUCAUAACGUUUAGGAAAUGCUCGAGUCCUCACAUGCAUAUUGGUGCAGUGUGCUUUAUCUUUCUGCAGCACUUGCGACUAUAUCUCCGAGUUAUCCAUGUAAUCAUUUACAUGGAUAACAACCUGCACUGGUAGACCACGAGGUGCGGGCUGGUGUGCCGCUUUGUCUCGGCCACGAGGUGGUCGGUCAGCCGCAUCCUGCACUGGUAGUGUAGGCUCUAGCACCUCCUCCUCGAAUUGGGGUAACAACCUGUGCUUCGGGUAACUUUUGGUUGGGCGCUCGAGUCCGUAUUCCUCGGCUGCCAGGACCUCAGUCCAUCUAUCAGUUAGCAGAUCUUGAUCAGCUUGAAGUUGCUGCUGUUUUUUCUUCAGGCUUUUUGCAGUGACUAUAAGCUGGCGCUUGAAGCACUCCUGCUCGACGGGAUCCUCAGGCACGAUAAAUUCUUCGUCGCCGAGGCUCACCUCGUCUUCGGAAAGGGGCAUGUAAUUUUCAUCCUCCGAGUCUCCAUCCAUUGCCUGUUCCUCAGGGCUAGCUUGCCAUCCUCCCGUCCGGCUUGCUCGAAGCUUGGCUGGCAGGAUUGUUUUCGUCUUUGGCAUCAUCCGGAGUGCUAUUGUCUCUUGUGCCGGUAUCGCUAUUUUUUUUAUGGCGGGGCUUAGAGCGGCGCCGCUGACGCCGGUGCUUAGAUUGCUUCUCAAGGGGAUUAUCCCCCGUUGCCUCAUCGCCCUUGCUUUCUUUAGGUGUGUCCACCAUAUAUAUAUAUAUAUAUAUAUAUAUAUAUAUAUAUAUAUAUAUAUAUAUAUAUAUAUAUAUAUAUAUAUCAUAUGAUGAGGUGGUUGUCCAGCGCCCUGUGGGCGGUGGUUCCUGUUCUUCUCCGGCAUCGUCGUCCAUACCGUUGAUGUCUUCGGAGUCGAAAUCAAGCAUCUCGGUUAAGUCGUCGACAGUGGCUAUUAAGUGGUGGUGGGUGGGUAACGAAUUUUUUCGUCGUCCGCUUCCCACUCCAGCCGGACAUAGUUUGGCCAAGAGUCUCCUGACAGGGAGAGAGAUUUUAAUAAGUUUAGCAUGUCGCCCAAGGGCGAGUGCUGAAAGAUAUCCACGGAGCUAAACUCCAUGAUCGGUGCCCAGUCAGGUUCGAUGGGCACGGAUGCGCGCGGUUCGGAACCUAUGGCCGGAGACGAGUCCGAGGGUCCGAUGACAUAGGCCUCGUUGGAGGUGAAUUCUGUGUUCGGCUCUAUCGCCGCUGAGUGUGCGGCCUCCGUGGCGGGGUCCAUCCACCCGUCCUCGGAUGACAUGAUCUGCUCCGGAUUUAAAGCCAGGGCAACUGCAGGUGCGAUCUCCUGAACACCGUCCGAUGGCAGAUCUAGGUCAUGCUCAUAGCGAUUGCAGGGUGCACCUGUUAUGGGCUCGAAUCCGUCGAAGAUCAAGUCUCCGCGGAUGCCAGCAGUGUAAUUCAGGCUUCCGAACCUGACCUGAUGGCCAGGGGCAUAGCUAUCGAUCUGCUCCAGAUGGCCAAGCUAGUUGGCCCGCAGUGCGAAGCCGCCGAAUACGAAGAUCUGUCCAGGGAGGAAAACCUCACCCUGGACCGCAUCGCUAUAGACGAUUGAAGGAGCCAUCAAGCCUUAUGGUGACGACACAGUGGAACUCUCAAUGAAAGCACCAAUGUCGGUGUCAAAACCGGCGGAUCUCGGGUAGGGGGUCCCGAACUGUGCGUCUAAGGCUAAUGGUAACAGGAGGUGGGGGACACAAUGUUUACCCAGGUUCGGACCCUCUCUAUGGAGGUAAUACCCUACUUCCUGCUUGAUUGAUCUGGAUGAUAUGAGUAUUACAAGAGUUGAUCUACCACGAGAUCGUAGAGGCUAAACCCUAGAAGCUAGCCUAUGGUUAUGAUUGUUGUUGUCCUACGGACUAAACCCUCCGGUUUAUAUAGACACCGGAGGGGGCUAGGGUUACACAAAGUUGGUUAUAGAGAAGGAAAUCUACAUAUCUGAAUUGCAAGCUUGCCUUCCACGCAAAGGAGAGUCCCACCCGGACACGGGACGAAGUCUUCAGUCUUGUAUCUUCAUAGUCCAACAGUCCGACAUAAGCAUAUAGUUCGGCUGUCCGAGGACCCUUAAUCCUGGACUCCCUCAGAGAGCACCUGCGAGUAGUUCAAUGCGGAGGCUGGCUGUUAGCGGUACCACCCAGUAUGUGGUGGUAGCUCGGGAUCUGUCCCGAUAGCCAAUAUGAAACAUUCACUAUGGCGGAAUGACAGGGCAGGAGGAGACCACCUAGAAGAGAGGUGGGCCUGGGCCCUGGUCAGGAUCCGCGGCUAUUUCAUAAUAACACACUUAACGAGAUUUGAAUAUUUGAUCUUAGGCUACCACUAGCAUAUACGCACUAACCGCCACGCGGGAUAAUGGUUAUGGGGCCCUCGGCAUCGUCAGUUCCUCUUGAAAACUCUGUCACGUGUCACAGUUGAGGGACACGUGCCCGGGUGAGCGGCAUGCCUGGUGUGUAUACAGAGGUGGGCUUGGUCCCGGUCGUCCUCGCAAUGUGCAUGAGUGCUUAAGGUGAUUGGCCCAUGAACCCUUCGCGCUUAGGAUGUAGACCGACGUGUUAACCACUCUGGAGAACCUAAGUAGGACUUCGGCGUGUCGAUUAUCCGAGGCCCGGCAUUACCCAGAAAAGUGUGUCCGACAGAGGUAAUCGAGCGUAUCGGGUUAUGUGAUGCACCUCUCCAGGAAAGUUUAACUAUUCAAAUAGCCCAGUCCACGGUAACAUGAUGACUUGAAGUUGUAUCCCGACCUCUUACAACUAAAACCAGAUACUUGAUAAAACACACCCAGAUAACAGACAGAUACCCCCAGAGAUCAGUUUCCCACAUGGAGACGAGGAGAGGAUCUCUGGGCAGGUUAUUGCUAUAUGUAUGUACAAGAUGAUACCAUAUCCGCUCCUCUUUUCUACUGCUAAAAGAUGUAGUCUCCGAUAGGUUGAGCUUCUCCUGCUUAUUCAGGCAUUUCUGCAGUUCAGUCCACAGAAAUUACCCCUUUCCUUUGAUAUGGAUGCAUAUCUAGUAUAGAUCUGAUGUAAGUCUUGGGAUUACUUUGGAUGUGGCCAUUUCUUUGAUACACUAUUCAUUCAACCUGGUUGCUGCAACAACUGGUAGCGUCGCGGAUGCAGGUUACCCCGAUGGUGCGUACUAUAUGGACACCGAUGACCAGGAGCAGUCGGGAUGUCCCAGGCAGGAGGCGUCGGCUUUCGAUCUAGCAUUGUUCUUUUGCUCGGCCUUCUUAAGGCAAAACUUGUCUAACUAUGUUUGUACUCAGAUGAUUGAUGUAUUAUGGAUCCUCGUGACCCUGACUUGUAAUAUAAAGAUUUAUGUUUAAUUUGUGUCGCAGAGUUGUGUUGUGAUAUUAACGUGGGUCACCGUUCAUGAUCCGACAUGAUAUGUGUAUGAUUAGUGCACGAUUAUGAAUGGGGCGUCACAGCAGAAGGUCUCGAAUGACGACGACGACGACGACGACGACGACGAAGAAGAAGAAGAAGAAGAAGAAGAAGAGAUGAUGCCGGCGAGACAUCGACAGUGUCGGCCCGCUCCUUUGUGAGUCCUGGCGCUUUUGCCGUGGGGGCCGCCUUCUCCUUCCCGAUGCCUCGAACUCUUCAUUGUUGAGCCGGAGCGUUCUUGCCUUCUUGCAGCGGAGGCGCCUCACGUCCGUCUCCAUCAUGGUGAGGACCUUGCCUAGGAUCUUCUCCUUCGAAUUGACCUUCAUGAACAUCGCGUAAGGUUGGGAGGACCUUGCGCCUGUGCGGGAGGCUCCGCCGCCCUCUGCACGGCCCGCUGCCUCUCGCGGCGUAUGGCGUGUGCCUCCGAUUCGGGCAUCCUUGUACGCUGGCUCGACGUGAGCACGAGCACUAAAAGCUGGCCGGGAGGAGCUAGGGCCAGAGGGGUGCGCCCGGUGACGGAUCAGGGGUGAGUGUAUGUGAGAGACUUCGAUUGUACUAUGUUAAAAGGAAAUUGAAAGAUCUACCGCCGAGUCGAGGGCAACGUUUUGGAGAGAGAAAGUCCGACAGAAAUUGAGAGAUCAAUAAAAUAUAUGCACAUAUAACAUUUGACAAAUACGGUUUACUGCAUUUUGUAUAUCUAACUUGCAAUUGACAUCGAUGAACCAAAACUCAAGAUUGAGCAAACAAACAAUCCUACCACUAUUGUUCUAGCAGACGCUCCUUUCCAUCAUCUCGUUGUAUUGCAGCCACGAGAUUUGCCGUUGCAGCUUCAUCUGCGCGUAGAACUUUGCGAUGAACUCGUCCGCCUUCACGUCCACCCCGGCAUCCUCGCCGCCCUCCACGGCUCCCGCCGAGCCGACGCUCGCCUCCAUCAUCGCGCGCUCGAGCAGCUGCUCAUCCGCGCCAUCGUCGAGGCUCUCCAGGCCGCACUCGCUGGGCUGGUCAUCGUAGAAGUCCCCGGAGCAGCUCGCGUCCCUCUCGCGGUCGUCGCGGAAGAAGUAGCGGUCGUCGCCGUAGACGCCGGGGGUGUCCGGGACGGAGGGCGCGAUGCAGGGGAUGAACCGGAGCACGCGCGCGGAGGGGGUGCGGAACCGGAACGCCGGCGUCUCGUCGAUGGAGAACUCCCGCUCGCCGUAGUGCAGCCGGUCGUUGCGCCGGCCGCCGUGGCCGAGGCCGAGGCCGCCGACGCGGCUGUGCCGCAGCGUCUUGAGCAGGCGGAGGCUCUGCGCCGCGCUCCCCUUCCGCGCCCAGAGCACCGCCAGCCGCAGCAGCCGCCACGCCCGGCCGCCCACGGAGGCCUUCCUCGUCGCCUUAGGAAACAUCGCCGGCGCCGCCAUUGUGUUUAUCUGCGUGGAUUCAGCAAAAGGAUCGCGAGGCCUGUGUAGCUGCUCCGCUCUUUUGCUUUUGGUAUGGAGGUUUGUUCGGUUGAGAAAGUUGGUGAUGGAUGAGUGUGGCGGGGAUCGCUGCAUAAAUAGGGACGGGUGGGAUGCUUUGCUUGUGUGGUGAGCCGGGAGCGGGAGCGGGAGCGCGGCGGGAGCGAAGGGAAGCGAGCGCGUCUGUUACUUGCGUCGCGUCUUGCUUGGCAGUUGGCAUAAGCUGGGGCAGCAGUGGAUGAUUGAGGUCAGGCGUGUGGGGCCCGGCCGCCAGGAGGGGCGCCACAUAGUGCGGCGCCUCAUCGGGCUGACGGACGGCGGCUAGGACGCGAUUGCGUCGCGCCUCCGAACGUGGGGCCGUUUCCACUCUCUGUCCCGUGGGUUCCCAUUUCCUGGUUUUCAUCCAUGACAGGGGCGUUUUUUCUUUUCUUUUUUGCGUAAACAUGACAGGGGCGUUUUGUUUUGCCUUCAUCAAGUGGCAAUGCACAGGAACAUGGUGUGAAGAAUCGAGACUGAAACUCCCUUUGUGAUCUCCUUGGCACUACCGCGUAAUUAGCCCCACUGGCUGCGUUUGUAGUACGUGGCCUCAACUGUAGUUUUUUGCCGGCACAAGCAGCUCUGCGCGUUCUGUUUUCAUCCAGUCACUUGUGAGUCGUGGAGCUGAAGAUCACGUGGUAUGGCGUCACAAAAAGAAUUGCAUUGCUUGUUCCUCUACGAACGCUUCUCAAAUGGCGCAUCAUUCCUUCUUAACGAAUCACUCUUAUAAAAUUAUAGCCACGGCUACGCGUUUCCCUAUUUCACGUCCCCUAUGCCAUGGAGUUAACUCUAGCUGCUCGUCAGCGGGGAACAUGGCUUUGCUUAAUCAAGAUGUAAACCGCGUGGCAGUGUGGACCAUCAAGACCUGAAACCCAACAACCAGCGUAAUCCCCGCGGUAGUAGCAGCUUCAGAAUAGUUUACAUCAUGGGAGUGGCCAGGUGUCCACGUCCACCUCACAGGGGUACAUGCCAGGCCAAGACCUCCACAGUGUCAUCCCGCACAAGUGAAAUCGUAUACGCGGUCUCCACGCUGCGUCGAAGCACAGGAAUGUACACCAGCCCAACGCAGAACAGCCUGAAGAACUGAAGCCGGAAAAUUUACCGUGAUGUUUUCUGAACCCCCGGUCUAAGAUUCUGUUUCUGUCUUGAGUAUUGCAUAUAAAGGUGGCGAAUACAAAUUUCCUCAGCCAGUAUAAAACAGCCGAAAAUCACUGCGCAGCUAGCCUUGAAAAUCACUGCGCAGCCAAGCUAAAAGAGGGGCACUAGCCGAAGCUUCCCAUGAAGUUUCACCAGACAUAUAAACACCAAAAGCAAACAAAUUAUACUUAUACGAAUCUGGUUCAUGGGGUUACAUGGCAUUCCCACAAAUCCUGGCUGACAACUAGACACAGCGGUCACACGCUGGAAAACCCAAGCCUGUCACGCCACCACGCAAGUACUACCAAACUGCUCACCACAAACACCUACAGCUCUGUUGUCAUAUAGCUGCAGCCUCAAGAAUUCCUGGUUGCUUUUGUGCUAAGGCUCCGCUGAACAAGACAGUUCACCUGAUUUUUUUGGAAUCAUGCAGCAUGGGAGAUAUGCAAACUGAACAAAACGAUCUAACGGUGACCGCGAUACUUAAGAUCACUGCUGUCAUCCUCACCUGAGGAGAUUAUAAUAUCGCCUUUCCGUUCGGCACUGAAGGGUGUGAUGCCAUGCCAUUAGCCCGACAAAGCAUUACCUGCUUACCACGAAUGAUUCAUUCAGAAUGAAGAGGCAGCGGCCACGAAAUAGCAGGGCUAGAUUGCCCACCUGCCAAAAAGAAUUGGACAGCACAGCAAGGCCUAGAUGGACGAAGCAGAUCAGACACAAGGACCUCUGGAAAAUCAAGACCCAGUCUGGAUCUUCCCAAUUAACGGCAAAGAAGGCAUGCUUGAAAUAAUAAUUUUAGUUAUAUAGUACUCCCUCCGUUCCUAAAUAUAAGUCUUUCUAGAGAUUUCAAUAUGAGCUACAUACGGAUGUAUAUAGACAUAGUUUAGAGUGUAGAUUCACUCAUUUUGCUCCGUAUGUAGUCCAUAUUGAAAUCUCUAGAAAGACUUAUAUUUAGGAACGGAGGGAGUAUUACUCAUGGAUCGGAGGGAAUACAAAAGUAAUAACUCAAUUACUAAAAGGCAAGACGCUGUUGGUAUUUUUCAACUUCUUUUUGUUCUUUGUUAUAAGACCCUUUGUUUUCGUUAUUACUCGUUUAGUUUGCUUAACAAGAGAACGGAUGGGCAGGAAAUUCCAAGAGCAUCUUGCAAGCUAGUAUUACUCAUCAAAUACAGAGAACAGAUCUCUCCAAAAUGUCUGGAUGCUCACCAUGCGCACCUGGGUCUCCCCAUGAUGCUCACAGUUGUUGUGAAUAAAAAUGCCGAAGGUACUGGUGCUUGUUGACUAAGUUUUUCCCUAACUCAGAAGACAGGAUGCCCAAAGAGUAACAUACAUAGAAUGUGGACCAUUUAUGUAAUUUUAAAACCCCCCAAAUUUUCUAAAGGAACCAGCUUAUGACACACAUAAAUAUAACUGUAGAAACGUCUCCAAACUGAGUACAUUGGUUGUAAAAAUAUCUUAUAUUAUUGGACGGAGGGAGUAGAAGUUAUCAAUAAAGUCCAUUUGCUUCUUUUGAUUUAAUUGUCCAGAUUAAAGCUAGAAAACAAAGACAAUAGGCAUUUCUAACCACUAAUAACCAAAAUAUUAUUUACCAUAAUUGCAUUCUAAACAUCAAAUUUGCUUCUUUUGCUUUAAUUGAUUAUUUUAUUUAUGACAACCAUUUGCGUUUUCUUCUGUGAUCACAUUACUCUCUGAUAUACUCCCUCAGUCAACUAAUAUAAGAUCUUUUAGAUCACUACUUUAGUGAUCUAAACAAUCCUAUAUUGGUUUACAGAGGGAGUGCCUUUCAAGAAGUAUAGUGCCCUUGUAGAGUAGCAAGGAAAGUGGCAGACUUGAAACCGAUCCUUAGAUUAGACAAUUCAUAUACAUAUUAUGACAUCUCGCAUAUAAGUAGGGACCAGAGUAUGUCUUGCUAAAUAAGUCUGCAUACUGCUAGUCAAGAUGGGCAAAUAAUAUUUUCAUUACAAUUGAUCAGUAGCGAUUCUGAUUGUUUAAUUUAUUCUAAAGCGAGGAACAGAACGAUAAUUUCUAUACAUGUUAAAGAUGUUCAUUAAAAUAAACACCACCUGCCUUUAAGAAUAAGUAAUCAAACUAGUGACAUGACUGAUUCAAUUUCACAGAUGUUGAGAAUAUUGCCACAACCUCUAUGUCACUAAAGUAUCACACAUACAAACUAGCAACUGAAGGUCAAAUGCCUGUAAUAUGGAUAUCACUACAGGCUCCAAUGUUCAAGUCCACCAUUUAUCCAGGCAAGACAUACAGAUAUCUAAAGAAGAGGCUUUUAGAAUACCUCAAAGUUCUGAACUCGAAUCAUAUGCACAAAACAGAUGGUGCACCAACAUGCCCAUUUUGUCUUACUCCCUCUGUUCCUAAAUAUAAGUCUUUCUAGAGAUUUCAAUAUGGACUACAUACGGAUGUAGAUAGACGUAGUUUAGAGUGUAGAUUCACUCAUUUUGCUCUGUAUGUAGUCCAUAUUAGAAUCUCUAAAAGGACUUAUAUUUAGGAACAGAGGGAGUAGAUGCUAGAUAUACUACUGGCAGGUUGCUACUCAUGCCCAUUUUGUCUUACUCCCUCCGUUCCUAAAUAUAAGUCUUUCUAGAGAUUUCAAUAUGGACUACAUACGGAUGUAGAUAGACGUAGUUUAGAGUGUAGAUUCACUCAUUUUGCUCUGUAUGUAGUCCAUAUUAGAAUCUCUAAAAGGACUUAUAUUUAGGAACAGAGGGAGUAGAUGCUAGAUAUACUACUGGCAGGUUGCUACUCAUGCCCAUUUUGUCUUACUCCCUCCGUUCCUAAAUAUAAGUCUUUCUAGAGAUUUCAAUAUGGACUACAUACGGAUGUAGAUAGACGUAGUUUAGAGUGUAGAUUCACUCAUUUUGCUCUGUAUGUAGUCCAUAUUAGAAUCUCUAAAAGGACUUAUAUUUAGGAACAGAGGGAGUAGAUGCUAGAUAUACUACUGGCAGGUUGCUACUCAAUCACAUUGUAUUUUACAAUGUUCCUAAUGCUUUAUUCAAACGAUCUGAGUAUAGUAAAACAGAUAUCAUGAACUAAGCCUAAUCCAGUAACUCUUUACUUGUUCGUCUAAAACAUGCUUGACUUUACAUGAUAAAAUCCAAGUCUUGAUGAUAUCUACUGGCAUAAUUGGCACAAGAUAAAAUCUGACCCGGUGUAACUUGCUCAGAUGCGAUACAUUUCAAUUUAUAGCCUAGUAAAUGCUCAUCAAAUCAUGUCAAGAACUUAAAACCUGCUGAUAUAUGUGUCAUUGUUAAAAUGAAUGUAAGUCUAGCAGAACAAGCUAGUUGUUAUAUCUACAGUAUAUACUAUCCAAUCAGAAUCAAAUUACUACAUGGGAGGCCAUCUGUAGGUAAAAAGCUGAACAAGAAAAAAUGUCACAAUCUCAGGCUGCUGACUUUUCAAAGUCAGUCAUUGGAUUUGUAUGAUCACAACUUGCAAAGACACAAUAGCUGUGGCUCAAAGGUCUCACAGCUUUACUUAAAAGAUACCGACCAUCCUGAUUUCCAGAAAGUAUGAAAGGGCACUUACAAGAUAACCCAACUACAUUCCAGUUACACAUUCAUUCUAGUUUCCUACGAGGAGAUAUGAAAACUUCUGGUACUGACAUAGUUUGAGAUGUCCUUAGCCCUUGAAUUGCCACUCCCUACGGCACAUGGGGCAAAGGGGGGUUGAUGUUUGAGAAUUGACCCACUUGAGUAUGCAGUGAAGAUGGAAAGCAUGGUUGCAGGCACCCCAAAUGAUUGGGCAAUCAUCACCAGGGAACUUACAAUCAGGGCAGCAGCCGUCAAAAGCCAUCCUGCAUAUGCCACAUGUCUCAUCCUGUGCGUCCCAUGUCCAAGAAGCCACCGCAUGCCACUGAAGAAUUUUGACCUUCAUGGCUGUUACCUGGAAUACAGCAGUAGAUGCAAUGCAUGAGUCAUGAGAACAUUGUACAAAUUGCAGUUUAUCAGAUAGCAAUCAAGAAGGAAUAAGGCAGAAAGGAGAAGAGAAGUUCGCUAAAUUAAAUGGUCUAAAAGAACACAUGUAGUAUUAGCUUUCCUGUCUUCAGUUUUAAGGCUGAAGUUGCAGCUUGCAGGUAAAGAUAGAGUGAUAGAUAGGUAGAUACAAGUCAAUAACACAGUACACCAUUCGAAUGGCUCAAAAGUCCCAACUACUAGUAUCCACACAGCGAUGUGGUCAACACAUUUCCUCACAAUAUGCAGGGGCGGGCUUAACAUGAGACAUAGGAAUACAGUUGAACCAUUGACUUUACAGAAAAUAAGAUGUGCUUGCACCAGGACAGCAACUCUUAUGUCUCAACUGAGGUCGAUCUUGUAUGCUGUGGAAGAACCAAUGUUUGGGAAGAACCUAAUGGAUCCACAUAUGAAUGGAUGAAUUGGAAUGGCUCAAGGAGGACGACGCUGUGUUAUAGUAACAGCAAAAUUAGGAAUAGUCGAAGGAGUGGAGCAGUGCUGGUCGGGCCAGACAACGAAUCGAGCCACAGCUCAAAGAUAGUCCCCCUUCUUUGAUUACCGUUAGAUCUUCUUUAGUAUUUACCCUUGCCAAGCCCUACCGAGCCAAUUGCCGCUUUACCAUCACCAUACCAGAAGAACACCUAGCAAAUAACGAAAUAACAGCACCAUAGCAUGGAAAUCCACGAGAAGAAGCCCCAGAACCAGCUGCUUCCAGGUUACUAAAAGUACUGUACAUAGAACGCUUGGAAUUUGAGCAGGGCAUUUCCUCGAACACUUUAUGCCCAUAAACUCCAAGUGCAGCAUACCGAUGUUGCCCAUGAGAAGAACGCCACGCAGCAGCGCCUUCAGUGGCCGAUGCAACCCAUGGUUCAUGCCGGCCGUAAGCACUCACAGACCAGCACAUGUUCGAUUUGCGGUUAGAAUGCAUUGGCGAUUUACAACGGUCGAGGUCGCCGGCUAAUUCGGCUUUGGGGGGCGGCAGGAGAUAGGGUUAUGGUUAGGGAUAGCGACGCAGUACCUUGACGGGGGGCAAUGGAGGGGGCACGCGCGGGCCUCAGGCCGCCGUCGACCCGCCUUGGUCGCUCGUCCGCUUUCCCUCCCAGUCAGUCACUCGACUCACUCCGGUGUGUCUGUCACUGUGCGUGGCGUGGAGAGGCGAGGGGUGAGGUCAAAAGGAUGGGCCUAAACUCAAGUCUGUAAGCGGCCCGUGGCAGUGGUAGUAGCCCUGGGCUGAACCUUUGUGGGUUGUGGACUUGUGGUGCUGCCGGUAGGUUGUUUGAGAACUUAACCCGGGACAAUAGUACCACCUCGCCAGCGGGAGCGAGAACAAACGGGUAGCUGGCUAUAUAAGAGAGCGAGGUGCAGUGAAGUAAAGCACGCAGCUGCGUGGUGAGCACAAAGCGAAACCUUUUACUCCCUCCGUCUGAAAAUACUUGUCAGCGAAAUGGAUGUAUCUUGUGCAUGCCACAAUAAGCAGCAUACAGUAAUUUUUGAAGGGUGUCUCCUUUUGAAGGGGACCCCAUCAAACCAAAAAUCGGAAUAAUUAUUGAGGUACUUGCAUCCCAUUUGUAUUGUGUUGAAAAUUAAAUGCCUAUGUCGUUAAGUGAUAUUGAACGAAUUGUGGUUCUGCAAGGAGGUGUGUCACAUGCAUCUGGCUGUUGCGGUACCCGUCACCGUCAGGGUGGCAAAACUGCACAGCUCGAUCCAUCUCCGUCAGGUAGUAAUUUCCCGAGAAAGGCAUCUUUGCCACCAGCUCCAGGCGAGAGGACAACUCAUUCCAGAUGCUACGCAACGCGGCUUCACGGUUGACGCCUAGCCCAGGCGCAUCGUCUCUUUCUGCGCACCAACUCACGUGAGUGUGAGCUAGUCGCAUCGCAUCGACCAUUGCCUGAUGCAGCAGCAGGAAUCUUUCACGUGCGCACUUCAUCCACCCAAAUGGAGAAGUUGCAUGCUCUCAAAUUUGUCACUCAACAUAAUUACACAGGUUAGGUUACGCUCAUGGAGGAAAACGACUCUUUUUUGCUAACUUAAGAGGAAAUUAUCAAUUGAGAGCAGUGGACAGCUUGUUUCAUACGUGGGACAACAAAGUCUUGUCUUGGCAAAUCGAAAACAGUUGGCGGCAACGGCACAGCAAAUUGAGGGAACAGGUUUCUGAUACGCCAAUUUGGGGAUGACCCAUUUUCCUCUCAUGAUUCAGUUAACCAUGUCUCCGUCAUACUGAAAGUGGUAUAAAAGAACCCAAAAAAAUCUCAAAACAUCAAAAUCCACAUGCAGAAUGGCGUGGCUUAAGGAGAGACAUAGAGAUAUCAUGAAAAUUCACCAGUUCCUUUCCAAAGAUUCAACUCCUGUUGAGACAUUCUUGAAACAACUAGCUAAUUAGCAGACAGUAAGAACAGCAUCUGCAAUCAACGCAAUCUCAUGAGGAAGCUCUUAAUUCUUUUUUGUUUCCUAUAAACCUGACCCAAAAGUUACCAUCACAACCUCAUGGACAAAAUUAGCAAAGGCAACAGCAUCCGUUACUCGCACAUUGUUGCAGCGUCUUCUUCGAUCCCAAUAGAACUCACCCAAGACCACGGAUUCUGGAAGAGAGAAUUAAUAAGGGAUAGAUUAGAGGUGAGGUUGAAAUAUCAGGACCAAAUGGUGGUACUAGUGAUAUGUUACAGUACUACUACUUGGAAAGGGGAGCACUCAUGGAAAUAAAAGUUGUGAUCAAUUUGGUACUCGUUGGAGAUCUGUCAUGUCAUAUGUAGUACUAUUUCCUUAAAUAAGCUUGCAUAAUGGAGGAUGAAACAGGAUUGCAGUUAUACCAACACGUAGGAACCGGGAAAAACGACAGAAAUUUUAUGCGAGAAAUGAAAUCCCUUCUAGUAGUGUUUAUAGAAGGCUAACGGAUUUGCGAUUUCUCGGAUGAAACCCGUUUCCACAGUGGAAGGAGGGG